UGAUAUUGACAGGUAAUUGGAUUAAGUUAAACACGGAUGGUGCCGUCUGGGUGGAUUCUAGUUUUACUACUGCAGGAGGGGUUAUGCAUGACAUGAAAGGGAAUUGGAUCUUAGGAUUCAAUAGGUGUUUGGAAGUAUGUAUGUUCAAUGCUGGAGGCUGAGUUAUGGGGUAUUUUUAAGGGUUGCGAUUUGACAGAGUGUUGAUUAAUAUAGAUAGCUUGGAAGCAGUUUAGGUUAUUCAAGACAACAACUUAAGGAACUCAAGUUCAACUUUGGCGAGGCGUAUACAUCAACUAUUGGGAAGGACAACUCAAUGGCAUAUCCAACAUGUAUCUAGAGAAGAUAAUAAAGAUGCGGAUUUUCUUGCAAAAUGAAUCGCAGUAAUGAAGACGUUUUACUUCUGUUUGAACAACCUCUUUUAGGUGUUUUAGCUUAAGUCCUUGUGAACACUUUGAUUUGUUUUAUAUUCACCAAAAAAAAAUAAUGGUUUUUUUAUGGUUUCAAAGUAAGAAAAAAUUUAAUGUCAUUUUAUGGUUUCAUUAUGAAAAAAAGUUGUGUAUAGAAAAAAAUUUCUUCCCUCUGUCUAUUAUCACCUUUCUUAAAGUGUAUUAAUUAACUUUUAAUCCCCAUGUACAACUUUUUUUCUCUUAAAAAAGUUAAUUAAUAACCUUAAAAAACUUUGUUUAAGAUUUUUAAACUUAAUAAAAAAUUGUAAUACAUUAUUUAGAAAAUUUCAAAUCAUAUCAUUUAAAAAUAAUAAUGCAGUUAUAUUAUAUAUGUUUAAAAGACAUUAUCAAAUUAUAAUCAUGUAUCCCGUUUAUGUUUGUGAAAUAAAAUAUUUGAGCCAUUUUAAAGGAUUUAUGCAGGGUUAAAAUAGUAAAAUUUUGUAUUUUAAGAGUUAUUAAAUCAUAAAAGGAUAUUAAUUAACUUUUUUAAGAGAGAAAAAGUUGCACAUGAUUAAAAGUUAAUUAAUGCACUCUAAGAAAGGUGAUAAUGAAGAGGGGGAAAUUUUUUUUCCAUCUACAACUUUUUUACUAUUGAAACCAUAGAAUUGCAUUAAAUUUUUUCUUGCCUUGAAAUCAUAAAAAAUUAUUAAUGUAAUUUCAUAUACAACUUUUUUUUUUCCGUUGAAACCAUAGAUGUCAAAUUUAAAUUUGUCUUGCCUUCUUCUCUUCCACUUUUUUUUUUUACAGCUCUCCAUUUUUUUUUCAUCUUCUUCUUUUGUUUCCUUUGCCUACUAAGUACUAUUAGGGGUGUUCAGCCGGUUAACCGACCCGAAAUUGUAAUAACCGAAUUAACCGACCUCCCAAAUUUUUUAAUCGUUAACCGAACCGAAUUUUUUAAAAAAUAAUUAAUCGAACCGAAAUUUUUUUCGGUUAAUAAGGUCGGUUAACCGAUUUAACCGAAAAAUAUGUGUUGGUCAUUUUUGGUUAAAAAUUACCCGAAUUACCUGAAUUACCCAAAAAUUAUCCAAAUUACCCGAAUUACCCGAAAAUUACCCAAAUUACCCGAAUUACCCGAAGAUUACCUAAAUUACCCGAAUUACCCGAAUUAAAUCACUACAUAAUUAAAAACAUUACAUAAAUAUUUGAAUCACUACAUAAUUAAAAAUAUUACAUAAGUCUUUGAAUCACUACAUAAUUAAAAACAUUACAUAAGUCUUGAAUUAACACAUAAUUGAAAUGUAAGUUUUUAAUAUUCUCGAUUUAUAUCCAUUUCAUCUCUCCAAAAUAUAUUCAUUUCAUCUCUCCAAAAUAUCUCCAUUUGCAUUAAACCUAAAAAAAAAAACAUGAGCAAAAAUUUAGCAUAUAAUAGAAAUAUACGCAUUUAAAAAAACUUAAAUAAUAUAAACAAACGAAUAGAUUAUAAAUUAACAAGAAUAAGAUAGUAGUAAGCAUACCCUUUAACUCACGAAAGCUCAUGAAUCUAGGGUAGGCUCUAAUGCAUUCCAAGAAAUGUCUAAACAUUGAAUCAAUUAAAUAAAUAAGGGUGAUAUGGUAAAAAAAUUGAAACUAUUAAAAUAAAACAAUAAACAUACCAUUUUCAAUCUUGUCAAGCUCUUGGAUUUGUUCUUCAAUCUUUUUUAUGUCUUCUCGUGAUGAUGAUCUUCGAAUCCAAUCUUGAGUACACACAAGAGCUUGUACAAUUUUAGGAGUUAAAGAACUCCGAUAUUGAUGAAGCACACGUCCCCCGGUGCUAAAUGCAGACUCUGAAGCAAUCGUAGAAACCGGUAUAGCUAACACAUCUCUGGCAAAUUUUGAAAGAGUGGGAAAUCUAGGGCUGUUCACUUUCCACCACAAUAAAAUAUCAAAAUCUUCAACAAAUUCUUCAUUAGCCUCAGCUAGAUAUUUAUCCAACUCAGAUGUUUUAUCCUCACCACAAAUUUCCAACUCACGCUUUUUAUACAAAGCUUGCAUUCGCCUUUUCAUUUUUUGUUGUGGUUCACCAAUAGAAACAUGUGUUGACACACUCGAUUGGCUACAAGUACUAUGAAGUGGAGGCUUAUACUCAUCAAACAAUUCAUACAAAGNNNNNNNNNNNNNNNNNNNNNNNNNNNNNNNNNNNNNNNNNNNNNNNNNNNNNNNNNNNNNNNNNNNNNNNNNNNNNNNNNNNNNNNNNNNNNNNNNNNNNNNNNNNNNNNNNNNNNNNNNNNNNNNNNNNNNNNNNNNNNNNNNNNNNNNNNNNNNNNNNNNNNNNNNNNNNNNNNNNNNNNNNNNNNNNNNNNNNNNNNNNNNNNNNNNNNNNNNNNNNNNNNNNNNNNNNNNNNNNNNNNNNNNNNNNNNNNNNNNNNNNNNNNNNNNNNNNNNNNNNNNNNNNNNNNNNNNNNNNNNNNNNNNNNNNNNNNNNNNNNNNNNNNNNNNNNNNNNNNNNNNNNNNNNNNNNNNNNNNNNNNNNNNNNNNNNCCCUUUUCAAGUUUAGCCCUAAAGUUUGUAUCUUGCUCCUGAAAUCUCUCAAAAGCUCUCUCAAAGUUCUGAGCAGUGUCUAACAUUAAGUAGGUCGAGUUCCACCUAGUAUAAACAUCAAGACACAACAUCUUCUUGCACUCUAUCUUUUCCACCACAACACACUCCUUAAACUUUUGUAAUCUAGUUGGAGAUUGUCUCACAUAUCUAACAGCCCCCUAACACGUUCAACAGAUUUAUUCAUUUCCUUUAAGCCUGCAACAACAAUCAAAUUCACAAUGUGUGCCAUGCAUCUCAUAUGAAGAUAUUUACCAUUUUGAACUAAACCCCCUCGAGGGUUAAAUUUCUUUCUCAAAUAACCAAUAGCAACAUCAUUUGAACUUGCAUUAUCAACAGUAAUAGUAAACAACUUAUCAAUCCCCCAAUUCAACAAGCAUUUCUUAAUCACCAUCCCAAUCGACUCACCCUUAUGACUAGAAAUUGGACAAAAGUUUAAAAUCUUUUUAUUCAAUUUCCAAUCAUUAUCAAUAAAGUGAGCAGUGAUACACAAAUAAUUAACUCUUUGCAAAGAUGUCCAUGUGUCAGUAGUUAAGCAAACUCUAGAACAAGAACUUCUCAAAUUUUGUUUUGGCUUGACCCUUUCAUCUAGAUACAAUUGAUAAACAUCCCUAGUCAUAGUAGUUCGUGAAGGAAUAUGAAACCUAGGACACGCCACAAACAUAAAUUUCUUAAAACCUUCACUUUCAAUAAACUUGAAAGGUAAUUCAUCAAUCAGAAUCAUUUGUGCUAAUCCUUUCCUACAUGCUUCUUGAUCAAAUCUCCAAGUUGAAAGAUUCCCUUCCCCCGCCCCCUUCAACUCCCUUGCUAGGUAAAACUAGUUGUCCUUGACUAGUGUCAACUACAUUACUAGGAUUUUUCUUACAUGAACCAAUAUGAUAUUUCAAUGACCCUGUACCUUUUUUUUCAUAUCACAACAAAAUUCCUUUUCACAAUAAUUACAUUUAGCCUUACUUGCACCCUCACUAUUAAUAAACUUAGUGAAGUGAGACCAAACUUCUGACCUUUGAGGAGGAGCUUUUCUUUUCCUGGACGUAGUCCCCUUUGUUUGGAUUGAAGCUCCAACCCUCGAAUUUUCAGAAUCUAUCGAAGUAGGAGGUGUAACACUACCCUCAAUAGAUGUUGGUUCGGUUGACAUUCUGCAAGAAAAAAAGUAUAUAAUAAAUUAAAAUAAUACGACAAACUUGGGGUCAACUGUCAAGGACAAUAUUAUUUACAAAAUCCAAAAACUUAAUAAAUUGAUGCAAUAUUAUUUAGAUCAUUUACAUUUUUUAAUUUCUCCAAUAAUUAUUCUAAAAUAUAGCAUUUUAAACCAAGUGAAAUCAUUAGAUAAACCACCAAAGAAAUAGUUUAACAGAUAAGAAUAAACCUUAUGGAAGAAGGCAUGACGAUCUUAUGGGUCCUUCAUUCAUCCAAAUUCGACCACAAUUAUUUGAUACGAAAUAAAAUAUGUUCUGAGACUUAUUUAUUUAUGGAAAAAACACUUAUGAAGUCCCAAGUUAAAAAAAACCUAAUAAAUGAAACUAACUAAAUUAUUCCAAAAUCUUGAUUGAUUAAGUGUUUAAAUAGGUGAAGAUAAUGAUUAGACAUCGAAUCUUUAAUGCUAAACAAUUUUAUUCUUAACAAAAAGAUCUGAAAUAAUUAAUUAACCAAAUAAUUAAAAAAAGAGAAAAGAAGGCCACAAAGAUUAUAAUAUGAUGAUAUAAAUAAAGAAAACAGUUGUACUGAUUAUGAUAAUAAUUCUAGUCUGAUUAUAUAUACUUUUUUAUGAAAUAAUCUGAUUAUCAUUAUUAACAAAUAAAUAAAGUCAUGACGGAUUUUAAAAAAAAAUACAAAGAUAAAGAAAGAUGGCAAGAAAAGCAACGUUUAAGAUAAGAACAAAAGAAAUAAAUGUGUUUCCCCAAUUGAAUAUUAAAUCGUCAUAAAAUAGUAACACAAUUUCUUAGACGUAUAAAUAUAAUAUUCUACAUGUAUAAAAAAUGUAAAUUCUCCGGAUAGGAUUUGCUAUAGCCUUUGGCUUUAAUCUAUGGAAAGGAUUAAGUUUAGUAUGAAAAUUUGUUACUAUUUUUAGUGGUUUCUCCUUAUGUUUAGAUAAUUAGUUGUGGUGUAUUACUUGAAAUAACUUUUGGAGAAUAAUCAUGAAAAGAGGGUAAGCUUCCAAUUCCUUCCAAACAAAAACUUUAUUCCAUUUAAUACACUACAUAGUUACAACCUUGUGCCAAAUGUUAAAUGUAUUUCAUUUGAACUUAAUCAGCAUCAUGUAUCAAACAGACAAACACUCAGUAUUUUUUAAAAAUUAUAAAUUCCAACACUCAAUAUUUAAUAAGUAUCCAUGCAUCAUGCACGUUUAACCAAUCACUAAUUAUUAUAAUUAAGUAAUUAAUUCCUUUUAGAACCUAAUAAUGAUGCAGAAUACACUUAAAAGGGAUCUAUAUUGUAAUUCUCACAUCCCCCAUGAUAGUUUAAGUGCGCUUUCAGCCUAACCCAUUAUUUUUCAUCAAUAAAAAUAACUGAAAAUGUCAGGCUCUUCAACCCUUAGCCUAUCAACCUCCUCCGUCAAACCUGGAUAAAUUUUCCCUAUAAAUAACAGUUUUGCGUGGCCCUAAGGUUUAAACAAAUAAGCUACAUUACAUACAAUCUUUGCAAUGUCUUAUUCAAGAGUUGCCUAUUAGCCCUUACUUUCAUUGUCCAAACAGCUUUUGGAGCUGACCCUCUUUUCCAUUUUUUUCCAUUAGAAAAAAAAACGAAUACUAUCUAUAUCAGUCAACUACAGAGUACAAACCCAUUCAAGAAAUUGGAAAAAAAAAGAAAGGGAAAGUAGAAGAAAGCAAACCUAGCUAUUGGUGUGGUGGUCCGACACUCUGACUCGGCGACUCUGGCGGAAGAGAAAUAGUGUGUGAGUGAAAGUUUAAGUGUGUGAUUUAGGGUGGGAUUCGACUGAGAUUGAGAAUAUUAGGGUGGGAUUUAGGGCUAGAGGGGUUGGGUGUUAACUGUUAAGUGUGUGAGUGAAAAGUGAAAACUGAAAGUGAAAGGGAGGGGGUAGAGACGUAGUAGUCGGGCUGCUGCAGUGCUGCUGAGAAAUGGGCAUUGGACAGUAGGUUUAAAUUUGGGCUGGGUUUAAAUUUAAUUGGUGUAGGCCCAACCCUGUUAAUUUUGGUUUACCCGAAUUUUAUUGGUUAAUCGGUCCGUUUCGAACCGAUUUAACCGUUAACCGAACAAACCAAAAAAAUUUAACUGACCCUCGACCGAAGUUUUUCGGUUCACCGAUCGAUUAACCGAACUCGGUCGGUUAACCAAAAAAUUUCAAUUUUAACCGACUAAUGCACAGCCCUAAGUACUAUAGUCAGUAAAUUGAACUCAAAAUCUUUUUUUUUCUUCUCAAAUAUUCAGCGCUUCUUCUCUACUGAUAUUGUGUUAUUUUUUUUCAAAUCUCUCUUCUCAUGUAAUUGAAGGCUUAAGAGUCACAUUUCCAAAGCUUUAAAAAGAAUCAAACGGUCACCGAUCAUGGCAACCAGAGCAUGCCAUAAAAAAAAACCACGCCGGCGCUAGUGGAGAGAAGGUCGGCACCAAAAAAAAUAAUUUAAUCCGACACGAGUGUUAGCACCAAAAAAUACUGAAAAGUAAAAUUUCAUUAUUUCCCAAUGCCGACUACCUAGAUGCUGACACCUAAUAAAAAAUAUUUUUUGAACCAGAAAAUACCCAUAUUUUUCAAAAAAGUACACAAAAAUACAUACGCGUGUUAGCCAUUGCAGUGUCAGCACCAAAAAAAUUAUUUUUUAAAACCCUGACCCAAUCAACAAGCAAUCAUUAUACGCUGAUUGACAUUGGUGACGACCAUCGGAGUGCCGACACUGCCCGACACUGUAGAUUUCAGGUAAUUUUCGUUAUAGUUUUUCAACCUGGGUCAAUGUCAUAAAAUUUUUUUUGGUUAGUUGGGUAAAAAAGCUUAUAAAAUCACUACAAAUAUAAUAUUUUAAAUGGUAAAAGUAUGAUAAAGGCUCUUAUUUUAAGAGUAGAUUACAUUUUUCUCUUUUUACUUAAAAAAUAAGUAAAUUAGUCUUUUUAUAUUAAAGGUACACGUGACAUUCUAUAUGUAAUUGUCUGAUUAUUCUAUCAAUCAAGUCAAUUUUUAUCAAUAGAAAUAGAAACUUUUUAAUAGAAAGAACUAAUUUACUUUUUAAUCCAAUGUACAAGAAUUAAUUUAUUAAUUUAAUUUUGCUCUUAAUACACAGAUUUUUUAUUUUAUUUUAAGCAUGAUCCAAUAAAUUAACUAAACUAAAAUCUGGUGUUUUUUUUCAAAAUUGAUCCAAAAAAUAGAUUAUUUAUGAAAAUGACCCAGGUGAAAAAUCUUUGAUGGAAAUGACUUGGUUCUAUAGUGCAUGUUGGUGCCAGCCAUCUCACCGUCGGCACCACCCUCCAUGAUCUCUUAAUCAUUACCCGAUGAUUGCCCGGUCAAAUAAAAAAUAAUUUUUUUUGUGUUGGCACUGUGUUUGUUGACACCAAUAUGUUUUUUUUUCAAAUACACUUAAAAAAUACAGUAUUCUAAGAUUAAAAAAAAAGAAAAAAUAAUAAUAUUUUAAUAGGUGUCGGUGUUCACGUUGCCAACAUAGGUUCAAAUUUAAAAAACAAUGUUUUUUAGUGUUGGUACUAACGUUCUCAUUGUCAGCAUCAGUGUGGUUUUGAUUUUUUUUUUGUCGGUGUGCUCUAAUUACUAGGACCGGUGACUGCUUUUUUUUAAAAAAAGCCAAAGGCAUUUUAUCAUUGACAAAAGACUACGGCGUUGUCAUAUUUGUUGCCGUUAACUGCAUGUCCUCCACCGCCAAUGUCUUCUUCCUCUAUUUGCUGCUAUCAUCACACGACACUCUCCUCCGCCUGCUUCUUGUUCUUGAAGCGACCAUCAUCGACUUAUUCAACAUUAUGACUUUUUAUUGAUUGGGCAAUCAUCAGAUAAUAAUUAAAGGAUGAUGGAGGAUGGUACCGACGAUGAGAUAACCGACACCAACAUGUACUAUAAAAAAAUAGUUCAUUUUCAUUGUCGAAACCAUUUUUAUUUUGAAAAAUGGGGUCGACUUUUAAAACGAAAAUGGAGUCGCCACCAAUCUUUUUUCGAGGUGUGAUCUGAGAUUAAUUAUUUUAAUAAAACAUUUUGAUUUAUUAAAAUAAUGAUUUUGGUCUACAAAAUUCGAGAAAACGGGCUCGGAAGUUGGUUAUGCACGAGGAAGGAUUAGCACCCUCGUAACGCCCAAAAAUUGGUACCUAAUUGAUUAAUUAAUGUCUCAAAGUCGAAUGUCGAAAAUUUGAAAAGUUUAGAAACGAUUCCCCUUUUUAUUAAUGCCAUAUUUUAAAACAAUGCUUGGAUAUAUUUGAACGAAUGUAAAAUGAUUUCUCAUCCCGAGGCAACAAGAUGUCGUAUCCCGUAAGUUAGGAUGCAACGUUUGAAUUCCCGAGCAUAAGUUAACCUUUUAAAAAUAUUUAUUGAAACCUUGUGCAUUUGAAAACUAAAAUGUUUAGUCAUUUUAGUUCAAUGAGAAAAUCGAAACCCCGUAAGUUAGAGCACGAUUUCUCAUCGUUCCAAAGACGACAUAUUGCAAACUUCAUUUUCCCUUUUUUACGAAAUUGGACCAAAGCGAAGGUUUAAUGCAAUAUUAACAAUGAUAUAAAUUUGAUUUAUUCGAAAUGAAAAGAAAUGAAAUAAUCAAAUUUUGGCAAAUAAAUUGAAAAUUUUAACUAUGAUGUAAUGUUCUCAUUUAAUAAAUUGUUUAAAACAACUAAUAAAACACAAUAUAUAAAAAUAUUGAAGCAAAUGAAGUAUGAAGAAAAAUUAGAAUAUCCAUUAUAUAGAAAAAAAAGUAAUAUUUAUAAUUCAAAAUAAAUAGUAUGUAUAUGGAUGAAGUUUAAAACAAUACAUGAAUUAAAACAAAUAAUAUAUAUGAAUGUACAAUUUAAUACCAAUAAUAUCUACAAUUUGAAAUGAAUUGGAUAAUUUACAAUAAAUAAUAUAUAAUAAAUUUGAAAUAAUAAUACAUAUAAAAUUUAAAAAUUUUAUGAUAAUUCUAGAAUAAUCAUACGUGAUAAAUCCAAAAUAAUAGUAUAUAAUAAAUUUAAAAAUAUUAAUGAUAAAUUUGAAAUAGAUAUACAUGAUAAAUUUAAAAUAAUGUUAACAAUGAAUUUAAAAUAAUAAUAUUGAUAAAUUACAAAUAAUAAAACAUGAUAAAUCUAAAAUAAUAAUAUACAGUACACUUAGAUAAUAUUAAUGAUUAAUUUAAUAAUAAUAAGCAUAAACAUUCAAAUAAUAUCAGAUUUAAUUUUUUUUUAAAAAUAGCAUAAUAAUCGAUACUUAAAUAAAUAAAACACAAGCAAAUUAAAUCAAACUAAUGAGGAUUAAAUUGAAUUUAAAGCAAAAUUAAAAGGAACAAAUGAGAAUAAAACAAAACUGAGGGCCAAAAUAUGGAAAAAAAAUAGAUAGUAUAAAAAAAUAAAUUGCAAUUGAUAAUAUAUGGAAAAAAAAUUAAAGCAAAUAAUCAAACAAUUUAAAAUGGAUGAUUUAUAACAUGAGUUUUUAAAAAAUAACAUGUGUGACAUAAUAUUAAAAACAAAUAGAGUAUAUAAUUAAUAGAAAAAAAAUAAAAGAAUGAUAAGAAUGGUUAAAUGAAUGAACAAUAUAUAAAUAAGAAAGUUGAUGGAUAAAUAAACAAAUAAAAGUAAAAGAAUAAUUAAUGAUUAAACAAUUAAAUGGAUAAAUAAAAAGGUUAAAAAACGCUUAAGUCAGUUUAACUCUUACAAUAUGAAGAUUCAAAGAAAUUCCUCCAUCAAAAUCCAACUCAAAUGAAAGCAACUUAAAAAGAAACAAAGAUGAAUGAAGAACAAGAUAAGAACAAGCCACAGAAAAUAAGAACGCAAGAGAGGGAGAAAUUUGAGUGAAUGCUUUUAAGAAUUAUUAUUGCUCCAAACUUCAGUGUUUUACAAUGAAGGGAGAGGCCUCUAUUUAUAGUUGAGCCUCCCCAAAUCUAACGAUAUAGAUCAAUUACAUCAACGACUAAGAUUAAAGGGUAUCUACAAAUUAAAUCUCUAAGAUUACAAAAUCUUAUCUUCUAAGAGUGCAUAUCAUAUCUUAGAUUGCAUAUUCUGGAAGAUUAUGUUUCCAUAUGCGUCAAGCUUGUAGAUGGACCUUCAACCCACUACACCAAAACAAGUCUUUAGCGGCAUUUUUUUAGGCCUUUAGCGGCAAACAUCGCUAACGUUUGCAGCGUUUACAAAAAAAACCGCCGCUAAAGAUCAUAUUCUUUAGCGGCGUUUUUUUUAAGCGCCGCUAAAGAAUAUGAUCUUUAGCGGCGUUUGUGAAUAUGCGCCGCUAAAGAACCUGCUCUUUAACGGCGCUUUGUAAAAAACGCCGCUAGAGAUCAUAAUUUUUAGCGGCGCUUUUUUUACAAACGCCGCGAAAAGAAAUGUUCUUUAGCGGCGCUUUUAUACAAAAACGCCACUAUUUUUGGGAUUUUUUUAUAUUAAAAUUUUCAUUUUUUUAGCCCUCCUGUAGCAACAAGUCAAAAGCAACCAGAUCUAAACCAGCCAAAAACAAUAAUUUUAUAUAAUAUUUCAAAUUAAAUGAAUAAAAUAAUAUUAAUAUCAAUAAAUAAAAGUAAAUUCAUAUUAUUUUUGCAAAAAUGUUAAAAGUUAAAAUGAUAGAAAUAUUUAUGCAAUACACUAUGACGGCAGAAGUUGCGAUUGAAACAUCUUCAUCAUACUCUAAAGCUGCUGCUGGAGUUCGUCGUACUUUUUGCUUUGCUCUGCUUCUCUCGCUGCAGCCUCUGCUUUAAGUUGUAGCUGGAGUUCUUCAUAUUUUCUUUGAACCUCUGCUUCCCUCGCUGUCGCCUCUGCUUUAAGUUGUAGCUGGAGUUCUUCAUAUUUCCUUUGAACCUCAACUAUGGUCGCUUGCAUCUGAGUCAUCUGAUCUUUUAACCUCUGAACUUCAGCUUGAGCCUGACUCCCCGAAGCCAUGUAUUGCUGCGAGCUGGAUCCAAAAUAUUAGGUUGGGCUAACAAAAGAUCCUUGAAAUCGAACCCGACCAUACCUUUCAGGACCCAAAACUUCAGUAAUAAUCCGGUUAUCAAUGUCUUCAGGAUGAACAGAACUAUCACUAGAAGCAAUCGCUUUGUACUCCGCCUUUUUAUCCUUUAGUUUUUCCUAAUAAAUAAAUCACAUAGUUAGGAACGCAAUAUAUAUUAAAAAACAUAUGCAACAUAACAAUAGUCGCAUUACAAGCAAUGAAUUAAACCAUUAGAAAAUAAACACUAUAAAUAACUAAAAGAAGUCAAAUCGUAUUAAGUAAACGUACCAUUAUUUCACCAGCUUCAGGAGUCAUGGGAGAUCCAUCUUUCUUCCUAUGUGUAAUUUCAAAAAGUUGAAGGCAUCAAACUUUUUGACCGGACGACAGUUCCUACAAUAUAGUAGUAAAAAUAUUAUUUAAUGGAAAGUUAUACAUAUUUGACAAUAUUAAAAAAUUAAAAAUACCUCCGCCUCAGCUACACAUGCAAAACUUCUCGACCUGGCUGUGUGAGUGAAUUUUUGUUUCUGCCUACUGCUUUUUCCAACUCGUUCACGAUCCUACGUUAUGAAAUUUUUAGUACGUAAAUAGUAAAUACUAUAAACCAAAAUAAUUACAAUAGUUUGGAAGUACGUCAUACCUUGCCUUUCUUCGAAUGCCAAAAUCUAACCGCAUCUUCCCAUUGGUACCUCAACAUACCCGGCGGGACAUUUUGCAAUUUCUCAUCGAGGGUUAUUUUUGUCUUAUAAUAAUUUUUCUUCAAAGUACUUUUAUGGUCUCUCCAUCUUUUUCCCAAUACCUUCUUUACAUAAGCAUCCGAGACCUCCAAAGCAAACCUCGCCUACAAAAAACACAAGUUAAUAAAGUAAAUAUAAAUGAAACUAUUUCCCAAGCAUUACAGAUGACAUUAACAUUUUGUUACCUUAAUAUUAUCGAGGGCUUGGUUUUUGUUGCUAUCGGGCAUUUGAUGCCAUGACUUAUAGUUGAUAGGCAACAUAUUCGCAUUUUGUGCUAAAAUGUCCAUGUAUCCUGCUAAAAGUUGAGCUUCUGGUCCAACAGGCUGACCAAAACUAUUUCGUCCAACCUUGACACGCUCGACUGGAUCUAACUCGUAUAACUCUCUAAGCAGCGUACGUCCUCGACCUCUGCACGUCCCACCAUUUUCAGCUACAAAUGGUAUAUUAUAAUAUAAGAAUUUGAAAAAUAAAUCAAUUAUAAGUCAACACGCAUGUAAAUUAAAUGUAAAAUUACUUUGAACUUCUGUAGGAUCCUCAGGUGUAAUCGGAACAUUCGAAGAUCCAAUUGCUGUCUGUUGUUCAAUACUAUUUGUUUCUGUCGAGUUUGGAUUAUUUUGAACCAUGCUUCCCCUUAGAAUUUUUCUUCUAGGCAUUUUAUCUGCAAUACACAUAAAAUAGUUGAAAACUUAAUAACUAAUUACAACAAUAACAACACAUAUAAAAUAAUUGAAAUAUAUAAUAAGACCAAGAUUUAAAUUAUUAUAUUACAUAUAAUUAAACAAUCGUAAAAUCUUACUCCAUCAUUAUUCGUAAAUAUCUUCAUCCGUAUCUUGACGAACCCAUUGAAAUUGUGCACUAGUACUAGGGAUAUUAUCGUUUAAGUUUUGUUUUGGAAAGGGCAAAGUUUCUGAUCUGUCGUCGAUGUUAUCUCUACUUCCACUGCCCAUGUCAAACAAGUCUCUAGGGAUGUUACGAAGUAUAACGUACUAACCCUCAUCAGUUGGAUAUUUUGAGUAAAAAACUUGUUUGACUUGAGAUGAGAAUACAUACGGCUCAUCUAUCACUUGUUGUCCUGUAUAAAUCAAUCGGGUGAAGUUCACCACUGUAAAACCAAAUUGAUCUUGCUUAAUUCCACGAGCAGUAUUAACAUCGGCCCAAUCACCUCGAAAUAAGACAACUUUCCAUUUGCCGUAGUUAUCCAACUCAAUUAUGUCAGUAAGAAGUCUGAAAUAUUCCACAUUUCCCUCAACAAGAUUAUUGUCCCUAGCACUAGCAUAACUUGUAAUUGAGGAAUUAACAACUAUUCCACAAUCUUGCUUUCUCCUCAACCUCUUGCUAUAUUUUGUAUGAAAUCUGAAUCCGUUGAUGAGGAACGCACUAUAUCUUUUAACCACUCGAUCUGGACCUUGGGAGAGCCAUUUAACUUCGUCGUUUACGUUCUUCCCACUCCGAACCUAUUGAAUGGAAAGUAAACCGAGUAAUUAAAAAUUAUUCAAUGUAGACAAUAUUUCAUAGCACACACCUCAAAAAUUUUAACAAACAAAAAGAAAAACAAUUAAAAAAAAAAGAAAAAGAAAACCCUGAACUACUAGAAUUAAAGAAACCUAUAGCAGGCAGAAAAAUGUAAAGCAACCUUCUUUGUAGCAGGCAUGGCCUCAAGUAUUAUAACCACAAAGAAUAUCUGACAACAAUUGCCUACACCAAACCAACAUGGACUUGUAAAACAAUUCCCACAAGAAGUUGGGUUAAUUUUAUAUGAAAUAGUUUCCCCGCAAAAAUCUAGCUUUUUGGACUUGUAAAACAACAAAUCCAAGCGAAAUGACUUUAGUUUAAAAUUUAAAUUACGGCACUCUCCGCCAUUCAGCCAAUAGUGCUUUUUAAAGAUAUACAAGUAAAGAAAAACAAACUGAAUGAACAAGAUAGGGAAUGACAAGGCCCAUGAGGAAAAUAAUGAAAAAAAUAAAAAUUCAGAUAAUAGUUGAAACAGAACUAACGGUUCUAGGAGAAACUUGGACAAGCCCAGAUACAGAUUUAUACACUUAAGGUAGCCAAAAUUUUCAAUGGCAGCAAAAAUGAAAAAGAAUGUAUAUAUACAGAAAAAGGAACUGAAAUCUUGUAGAAAGAGAAGAGGUGGCUCACUUCUCGGACGUGGAUAAGCAGACGGAGAAACAACGAAAAUGAAGCACAGAUUCAAAAGAGACGAUUUAAGAGAAAAAGUUUUAUAUUUAUUUAUUCAUUUGCCUUACUAAUAAUAUCAAAUUCCAAGCAGGAAAGAAAGGUUGAAUUCCAAGCAUUGAUUUUAAAUGUCAAAGGAACGAUGACACCUUCGCCGAAGAUCUCCGGUGUGUCAACAUCGUCGACUUCCAUGGCUGAACCUUGGUCGUCUGGGUCCGUCACGAAUUCCAUCGGCUUCUAAGCUUCUAGGGAUUUCUUUCCCCCCUUUUCUUUAGGCUUCUAGGGAUUUCUUUCGUUGUUUUAAUUUUAAUUAUUUCUGUUGAAAUAUCUUUCCCCUCUUUUCCUUACAAUAAAUUAUGGAUUUUGUGGCGUUUUUAGAAAAAACGAAGCUAAAAAAAUUAAAUUUUUGUAGUGAAACGGCACGUUUUGGAAAAAUUUAAUAAAUAUUUGCGGCGUUUUUUGUCCAAGCGCCGCUAUUGCUUACCUUUUGCGGCGUUUUUCUCAUAAAUGCCGCUAAUGGUUGAUUUUUUUUAUAAUUUUGUAUUUAAUUAUUAUAUAAUUCAUAAUCCAUAAUUCCUAAUUAUUUAAAUUAUUUAAAAAAAAAAGAAAAUCAAGAAUUGUAGAUUUAAUGUUGAUAUUAUAAAUUACUGGUAAAUUCAAAUAAAAAUCUAUCUUAUCUAAACAUUUUAAAUAUAUAUAUAUUUUCAAAUUGUUAAAUUUCAGUCCUAUAUAAAUGAAUCACCAUCCUGUUUCAACAUUCGGCUUUCGAAAUUUCAAUGGAAUUUACAGAAAAUAUUUUGUUAUUUUAUUUAAUAAUUAGGUGUUUUGUGAGAUAAUAAGUAAGAAAUUUAAUUGACAUAUUAUCUUAAUAUGUUAUAAAAAUACUGUUAUUAUCUUAAUUAUAUUACUUACAUUCUAAUGAUUUAUUGGACCUAUUCCAUACACGUGUCAAAUCAGAAAAAUAAUACAACAAUUCUGUAAAAAAAAAUUCGGUGUUUACUUCAAAUAAACAAGGAAAAUAAUGAUUUGAAUGUUUCAAAAUUCAAUUUUAAACCGAAAAAUCAAAAUUUAGAGGCAAAAAAGGAUCUUUUUCGACGAAAACUGCGGCAAACUGCCUUCGGCAAUUUGUCAGCGCGUAGAUCUCGAAAAGUUAUUCGAAAUAAAAAAAAUGGUCUCAAUUGGACAACCAAGCCAAAAGUUAUGGCCUUUCAAAAUUUUCCAAGCUAAAAAACAUAAACUGUUCAUGAAUUAUUACUUCAAAACUCACCAUUUCGUUUCCAUUGAUUUCAUCGUGCACCAUUUCAAUUGAUUUCACAAAUCCCGCCUCUAAUCCUCCCAAAAUUUGACAUCCCUCCAACUCUACACAACGAUUCAAAAUGCUUUCUUUUUCAGGCAAAAUACCAAAAAAGCCCUAUAUUUUUAAAAUUUAUCGAAAUGGGCCCGGUAUUUUAUUAUUUACUGAAAUGGGCCAUUUUUCCCGAAAUCGCGUCCACGUCAGCGCGAUACCAGGGGACGUGUUGAAACCCUAAACCCCAAAUCCCUAACCUAAUUAUUGAAACCUUAAACCCCAAAUCCCUAAACCCUAACCCCUAAAUCCCCUAACCCAUAAAUCUCUCUAACCUCUAAAGCAUAACACUGAACCCCUAAACCUUAAUUCACAAACCCAAAAUCCAUACCUCGGCCUACUCCUUAAACUCUAAACCAUAUAAUAUAGUGAUAAUUAAUUCAAUAUUUUUAAAUUAAUACUAUCUCUUUUACGAUUAUAUAAGAAAUUGUUUAAUAUAUAAGCUAAAAAAAUCAGUAAUGUAUCCAAAAAGCUUUAAAAUUAUUUUAAAUAAUAGUAUUUUAAUUUUUCCAUUUUUAACAAAUAUUUUAAAUUAUUUUAAAUCCCUGAGCAUUAGCGGCGCUUUUGUAAAAACGCCGCUAAAUCCCCGAAAGCUCAGAAAACGGCGUCGUUGGGUUUAGGUUUUUUUGCGGCGCUUUCCCAAAAACGCCGCUAAAGCCCUGAGCAUUAGCGGCGCUUUCUUAAAAACGCCGCUAAAUCCCCAAAAGCUUAGAAAACGGUGUCGUUGGGUUUAGUUUUUUUUGCGGCGCUUUCCCAAAAACGCCGCUAAAGCCCUGAGCAUUAGCUGCCCUUUCUUAAAAAUGCCGCUAAAUCCCCGAAAGCUCAGAAAACGACGCCGUUGGCUUAGUUUUUUUUACGGCUUUUUCCCAAAAACACCGCUAAAGCCCUGAGCAUUAGCGGCGCUUUCUUAAAAACGCCGCUAAAUCCACGAAAGCUCAGAAAACGACGCCGUUGGGCUUAGUUUUUUUUGCGGCGCUUUCCCAGAAACGCCGCUAAUGCCCUGAGCAUUAGCGGCGCUUUCUUAAAAACGCCGCUAAAUCCACGAAAGCUCAGAAAACGGUGUUGUUGGGCUUAGUUUUCUUUUGCGGCGCUUUCCCAAAAAUGCCGCUAAAUCCCCGAAAGCUCAGAAAACGGUGUCGUUGGGCUUAGGUUUAUUUGUGGCUUUUGAGCAAAAACGCAGCUAAAGUCCUGGGUAUUAGCGGCGCUUCCCGAAAAAAACUGCUAAAUCCUCGAAAGCUCAGAAAACGACGUCGUUGGACUUAGGUUUUUUUGUGGCGCUUUAGCAAAAACGCCGCUAAAGUCUUGGGUAUUAGCGGCGCCUCCCGAAAAACGCCGCUAAAUCCCCGAAAGCUCAGAAAACGGCGUCGUUAGGCUUUGGUUUUUUGUGGCGCUUUGGCAAAAAUGCUGCUAAAUCCGCUAAAGCUCAAAAAAUGGCGUCGUUGGUCUUAGGGUUUUUUGUGGCGCUUUGUCAAAAACGCCGCUAAUGCCCCGAAAGCUCAGAAAACGACGUCGUUGGGAUUAAGUAUUUUGUGGCGCUUUCGCAAAAUCGCCGCUAAUGCUUAUUUCAUCGGCGUUUUCCAUGGAACGCUGCUAAUGGUCGAUCUUUAGCGGCGUUUUUUAUCCAACCGCCGCUAAAAACGCCGCUAAAAGUCUGUUUUGGUGUAGUGACCUUUUCAAGUAAUGAGUCAUUCCGAUCGGACCAAAUGAUAUAAUUUUGGACUGGAGUUAGACUUUAUUUUAUUAUUUUAGGUUUUUUUGUAAACUCGGGCUAAAUUGACCUAUUACAUUCAUAAAUAAAAUUUAUAUUUAAAUCAUUUUUGUAAAUAAUCAAAUUUAAAACCCACAUUUUACAGUGUUGUGCUUCUGGAUUCAUCGUAGGCCUAAGAGUUGGCAAGAUCAUGAGUGACAUAGUGGGUAGUUGUUGUGUAAUGUCAAUCUACAGAAGACACGUAAUUAGAAAGUGACAAAAUUAUUGUCCUUCAGUUGUAGGACAUCCCAUGCAUUUACACUUUGAAAAAUAAUGCAAAGAGCUGACGCGUAAGGACAGCAAUUAAUGGUACGGUAUUCAUCUGUCUCAUAAUUAAUUAAUAUGGCCACAACCACAAGGCUUGUGCCAAAUCACCCCCUACUUCAUUUGACCCCAAUCUGAACUGAAAACCAUGCCUCCAACUUCUUUGCUCCUUAGCUGGGACUGAAUUAUGUUAUUUUACAUUUCCUAUUUGCUUUAAUAUUAUAGAUGUAUAUUUAUUUUAUUUACCCUAUACAAAUUUACAUUAUCCUCUAUCAUUUUAUUAAAUAUAUAUAUAAUAACACCCUUAAACAAUUAAAUUAGGAUUCAACUUUUUAUGGGUUACUUAUUUAAUGAUUUAACCUUUCAAAAUGGUCACAUGAGCGUUACUUUUAUAUACGUAUUUAAAUAAGAGUUUUUCAUACGCUUCAAUUAAGUUCAUAUUAAAAAUUAGUUAAAUGAUAAUAUGUUUAGAAUAAAAUAAAUAACAACUAAAUAAAAUAUUAUUUAAAAAGAAAAGAAAAGAAUAAUAACAUAAUUUGAAACCCAAUAUACGAUAUCUAAGAAGCCAUUAUUUUUGUAGUUUUGAAAUGGUUUGGCUAUUAUUUAAGCACUUUCGAAAAGGUUCGGCCAUUGUUUGAACAUUUUGAAAAGUUUAGCCUUCUUUUGAGCACUUUUGUAAAGAUUAGGCCUUAUAUGACAAUUUUGAAAGAUUUAAUCCUUAUACGAGCUACCCUAAAAGGUUAGACCUCAAAUUGAGCAUUUUUAGCUUUUGAUUUAUUAUUAUUAUUGUUAUAACAUUAAUGUUAUAUAAAAUGUUGAAUAAUACAAUGGGUGUGAUUCACACUAUAAGGGGGUGUGAAGAGCCUUUUAGAAUGGGGCAAUUUACACCAUAGAUGAUGCGAUUGGAUUUUAAGUUGUAACACCUUGAAUAAUUUAAGUCUGUUUUUGUGAAAUUUAGGGUCCGUCUGAUUGCCAGUAAAAUGUUUUCCGUAAAAUAAUUUCUGGAAAAUGUUUUACUUUUCUGUAAAAUGAUUUACUGGAAAAUAUUUUCUGGUGUUUGAUUGAAUCCGUGUAAAAUAUUUUCUGCUGUUUGGCAGAUUUCCUGAAAAUAUUUUUCGAAAAAGUUAUUUUUACAUAUAUUAAUAUAUAUUAAUAAAUUUUUAUAUUUUAUUGCAAUGAUUUAUUUAUAAUAAUACUCAAUUAUUAAGCUACAAUAUUAAUCGUUAUAAAUUGAAAAAAACUAAAUCAAAUAUAUAAUAAUACUCAAUUAUUAAAAUAUAAAAGCAUUGCAAACUACUUCCGAAAUUUACUAAUUAGUAGUGAAUCAAUUGUAGUGAUCUCCUGAUGAAAUUACGCUCAGCAUAAAAGCAAUUUUUUUGUUGUCUUACAAACAACACAGAUAGCAUCAUUAUCAAAUUUCAGCCACUCUCAAGUAUAACCAAUUCCUUAGCCAACCAAUCUACAUUGUAACACAAAGCUAACUCCUAUAAAAAUUAUCCCAAUGCACACAUUUACAGAAAUAAAUAUGUAUAUAUGUAUGCAUUCAACAAAUACAUAACCAUAUGCAUGCAAUCAGCUAUGUUCUUUGAAAGCUACUACUAGAUCAAGCAUUGCCCCAAUACCAUAGGUUGCCAUCCAAUAGAGAGGAAAAAAUACAAGCAAAGAACCCAACUUUUUACUUAGACAUAUGGCGAAACGUGCUCAUGCAACUGGUAAGAAAAAAUCACUCAUGGCCCAAAAAAGAAUUUCAUAAAACUGAUAGUAAAAUCAAAAUGAAUGAUACAUACAAUCAAAAUUUUCAACUGACACCUAUUGAUUUAAUACAACCAGGUAAAGAGGCCGACAACCAUCUGAUAUCUAUGAAGCAAAUGAACUAGCAAUAUACUAGAAAUAUCAGCAAUUGCAAUCAACAAAGGCAACAGGCUCCAUUGAAGUCCCCAAUUUAAAUCUAUUGAUUUAAUACAUGCUCUCAUUGAAGUCCCCAACUCUAGGAAUAUUGUUCUGCCAGAAGCUAGUCAGUUAAGCAAAAUCAAUAAAAAUUCAAGAAACAUAAACCCAAACCUAGAUAAACUACUGCAUUUAUCUUACGGUGCUUGCCAAUUAUGUUGCCAUGAUUUCCAAUUAUAACAGAAAUAGAGUUCUGAAAAAGACCGACCCGUACCCGGGGUUCUCUUAACAACUCUUUGUCAGCAGAAAAUUUGAAAGCCUGGAAUGAUUUGAAAUGGAAAAGCACUUAUAACUGCCUUCUACAAUAUACUUGUAUUGAAAUGACAAACUUUGAGGCACAAGGUGAUAAGAGCUAGAAAGGGGUGCAAGUGAUAAUAGACAUUAACAUGUCCUUACCUUCCAAUAAAUUUAAAAUGGCAUAUCCAUCGCAAGAAUUUUUAUGAUUUGUACCCUCGACAACAUUGGUGAAGAACAACACAACCUAUAAAAUUGUUAUAAGUAUCCUAAAUUGAGAUCUAUCUUGAUCAUUAGAGACAAGAUUAGUGCUUUGUUGUAGCACAAUUUAAAAUAAUUGUUUAUGAAAGCAAGACAAUGUGCAAGUACACAAGCAUGAGAGCAACAGAGCUUUCAAUUUUAUCUAUUAAUGGUUUUCACAUGUCUUGGGAGAGAAUAUGAUUGCUAGAUAUUACAAAAGGUUAAACAAAAAAGGUAGGCUAUAUUCUGUACUAGCUCUACAAGUUCAGAGUACAAAAACCACAAGCCCUUCUAAUAAAUCAAAUUCUACAGGUCUCUAAUGGUCAGAACCAUUACUCAUUUAUCUUCAGAAAACAGGAGUGGCGAGUUGCAAAAAUCUAUACCUCAUCAACUUCCAUUGAGAGAUCAUUCACACUUUGCCUAAGUAAUCCUUUCAAUCUUCCUUUCUUGAAAUCUGAAAGCUCAGCACCAAUGUUGUUUUCAAAAAGUGAAUCAACAUCUUUAGGACUACAAUCCAUAGACUCUUUAUCAUUGACCACCAUAUACUUCCCUUGAGACAACUCAGAUGCAUUGGAAUUGGACAGAGUAUUUUUAUCUUCUAACAACAGGUCAGCUAUUUGACAAGCAUAGAAGCUAAAGAAAUCAGGUCCAACUUUACAUUGCUUACUCGAACCAUCUGAAUUUCUCGGCAUCUCUGACAUGAUAGAAGUACUACUACUCUGCAUACGACAACUACAUAGAUAUGAAUCAGUCCAGACUCCAGAUAAAUAACUGAAGCAAAAGAGGAAGAAGCACCAUUAUAUAUACUAUACAAAUUUCUCUCUAAAGCUAUAUUUAGAAACAUGAAUUUGAACAUUUGGAUUUAAUUUCAUUUGUUAUAAAAAUCUACGGAUAAAUAAAUAUUGAUGAGCUAAGAUGAUGGAUCUCUAUAUCAAUGAAUCGUUAUAAUGCAGUAAUGUUGGAUAAAUAAAUAGGCACUUGAAGAUCAAACUCAUGUUUUGAAGAGAGGGCUUUAGCUGAUUCAGGUGGAACAAUAGUUUCAAGUGUUGUUCCGCAAUUCAGCCUUAGAAGCAAUCGGCUGACUUCCUGUUAAUAAACCAUAACAAAAUUCCAAAAGAUUGUUACUUUCACCAGCAAUAAGAUCAGUAGAUUUUGACUUUUAAUAGGCAAAACAUGUUACUUGUUAAUGAGAUAAACUGUUUACAAAUUCUAGGAUCGUCUGCAAUGAUUAUUUCAGUGGCAAAAACUGACUAAAAUGACAAUAACCAAUCAAUUCAUAAUAGACAAUAUGAAAUGGGUUUCCUUUUUCAUGAUCAAAUUAGCUUUUACAAUAUAUAUAUAUAUAAGCAAGAAAAAUAACAGGAAAGACAAAUAAAUUACAACCCGGAAAGUGGGAAAAAAGAAAAAGAAAAGACCUGGUAGAGUUGAGGCUUGAGAUUUGCGCUCAAGAGGUGGUGAAGCGAAUUAUACCCACAAAUUGAUCCAUAUUUGAAACUUUCUUUUUCUUCUGUGCUUCCAUUUUCUUUCCCAAUUCCAUCAGUUUUUUCAUUUUCUGAUUCCCUCAAUUAUUGCUCCGAAAUCAAAACAUAGAAAAAAGGUUGAUGAACGCCGGUGUCUAGUGUUAAGAAUCGAUGUUGGUUGAUGGCAAGCAGAAGAUCAGGUGUCAAGGAUAGGAGAAAGGGAAGGGCAAGGGAAAGGGAAAGGGAAGAUCGAUGUCUAAAAUUUUCUUGAAAAUGUCUUAUCGAAUUAGAAACGGUAAGAUAUUUUCCAAAAUUAAAGGCUUCUUUUCCGGAAAAGGCUGGAAACCUUUUCCGGAAAAUGUUUUACUACAAUCAAACAGAGCCUUAACAUAAAAUGUGUAUUUGCUUCAGUGGUUAAGUGUUCUGGGUGUGUGUAUGAGGUUUUGGGUUCAAGUCUUUAUUUUGGAAUUUUUUUUAUUUUUUUAUCCAAGCCUUAUCUCUAUUAGGUGGGCUUAUGUUUUAUCUUUAGUAAACCCAUAUCAGAAUGAGCCUGUUGGUUCGAGCAAUAACGAGUUAGCUUGCUGAAGGUCCUGUGUUCGAUUCCCUGUGUGAGUGUGGAUGAUAUUUUUGUUUUAGUUGUGAGAUAGAGGUUAGGUGAAAGUAAAAUUCUAAGGUGGUGGAGAGUUAGUCGGUUAGUUAUUGGAAUAAUGGAAAGUUGAGAUAUUAGGGGUUUCAAAUUUUAUUUUAAUUUUUUUCUUCUCAAAGUUUUUGACGUCAGUUUUAUUUUAUUUUUCCCUCUUUUAACAUUUUUACCUUCUCGGUAAAAUCCUUUUCAUUUCUCUUUGAUUCUAUUCGUGAAUCCCUCGUUCAAAUCAUUGCUACUGUGAUUUUUGGGUUCUUUAAUCAGUUGGUAAGUAGAACUUCGUAUCUCUUUAACAAUUGGUUUGAGAUAUUGGCAAUGUUAAGUUGUAGCGAUUAAUUAGUAGAUUCAGUGUUUAGGAGAAGAUUGUGAAGCAGAAAAUUCACCCCGACAGCCUAAUCCGUGUUAGUGGUGGUUUUCAUUAACGAUAAGUUUGUGAUCGUUGUUGAAUUUUUGUCACGAAUUUGUAAAUUGGUUGCUAAUCGGGGUUAGAGAUACUAUUUACAGGUUUCUAUGGUCUCGGGAUUGAUUAUACUACAAAAAUAAACCAGGUGUGUAACCCUAACGUGAGAAAAUGAGAUUCGACGAAAGUUAAAAUUUAGGUUUGUCGACGCCACACUGGCGUGUGCCCGGUCAUGUGCAAGACAUGGUCGUGUGACUUAUAAGGGUAUGGCCCUGCGUAAGACACGACCGUGUAACAGUGUUAGUGUGGCUGUGUGGACUACACGGGCUAGGCGAGAUUGGCCGAAUGGGCCCAUACGGGCAAGCCACAUCGACGUGUGGGCCCAUAAUUCUAAAAUUUUCCCUAGGAUCUCACUGGUCGUUUUGAUUGAAUGUGAACUUAUUAUAGGGUCGGUAAGGGCUAAUCAAACUCUAAUUCAUGUGAUCUGAUAUUCUGAUAGUCUGAUUUGAGUAGGACAUUGAUAUGUAUAUAUGACUGUUCUGUUUGAGUAUAUAUAUAUGUGUUAUCUAUAUACGAACAUGUGUUAAUUAUGUUAAUUUUGUAUUAUGUAUUGUGUUUAGGGUGGGAUUUGUAUAUAUGGAGGAAGUGAUCUGUACGGUGACCUUUCGCCUAUAUUCUGGUAGCUUGGCUGCGUAUUAUCUAUUAUGUGUCGCAUCAAAACUCUAUGGUGUCUAGGGAUGAGUGGGUGUUUUUAACCCCCACAUGGUGUGAUGGGAUGGACGGAGAUGGUGUGUAGAGGAUGGGGGUAGGAUUUUGUAUAUUCGUUCUAUUUAUCUGAUAUGAUUUCUGUAACUGUUGUGGACUUAAGUUCGAAUCUGUAUCUGACUGUAUAUGAAACAUUGUGUAUGCUGCAUGUCUGUCUCUGUUGGGUUACACACUGAGUUUAUAUAAACUCACAUUUGUUUGACUUUUUUGUUCAGGUAACCUAUAGACAUAGGCGGGUCAGUGCGACGGAGGCUCAGCGGUGACCACUCGAUAGAAAACUGUUUCCAUUUAUUAUUUCAUGGUUUUUAUUUAAAUUUCUAAUUUUCGUGAGAGUUUUGUAAUUUUUGCACUCUCCAAACUUUUUGAACUGUUUGGUUUCAAUUUUUGGUUUGGUUGGGUUAUGAUUUCUAAACUGCGACAAUUCGACAAAAUAUUGAUUUUACGUGAUCAAAUGUCAUCGAGCCUGGUUUCUAUUUAAACGACUUUUCAAACUUCCGCUGCUAAAUGAUUUGGUUAACCUUAAGGGAUAACAUGUAACUGUUUCAUUAAUAAAUAUAUAAGUGAAUACGUUUUACAAAACUUAGACGUUUAUUGAAAUAUUAUUGGUUUUAAAACCUUUCUUCGUAACACUCCUGAAUUCGGCCAUAACGUCUAGGUCGAGUUUGGGAUGUUACAUUUAGUGGUAUCAGAGCCAGGUUGUAAAACUCGGGUUAUGAAUUUUGGAUUCCAAAAUUUUGUCUUGAAAAAAGACUAGUUUUUAAAUAAUUUAGAUCAUUCCUGAGUAAGUAUGUGAUACACCAAGUCUUCGGUGUCGAUUUUAUAAGUAUCUCUAAAUUUUGAAAAUACAAUAGAUAGUACUUUAUGAAAUUGUAAUAAGUUAGUUAAAGACUAAAACCUCUGAAAUACUUCUGAACUUUUGAUAUUUUAAGCAUAAAAUAUUUGUUAAUAAAAAUUGAAACUGAGGCAUAAAAUUUUAUAAUGUAAAUAAAAUUAAAAAUAUGAUGAGUACUCAUGAAACUCAUGGUCAUAGUAAUCGUGGACGUGGCGGGCGCCGUAGUAGGGCUUGAGUUGAGUUUUCCUCUCUAGGCAGUAUGCCAAAUUUAGAUACGAGUGAGGCACCGGUUUUACUUACUACAAAGACUGGGUUUGAAAGCCGUUCGUCUGGGGACGAUGCACUGUCCUAAUCUAUGUUGAGAGUGUUGGAGAGGGUUGCUAGACCCUAUUCGGGAUCUGGAGGUCGUAGGUCGAUAACAAAAUGACUUCGAUCCAAUAGAGUUGAGUUGUUUAGAGGCGUCACUAGAGUCACCUUUACUGUGGACGAGUAUUGGUUAGAGGCCAAUAAGAGGAUUAUGAAUGACAUCUACUGCACUCCUGAGUAGAAAUUAAAAGGUGCAAUCUCUUUGCUUCACGACGAAGCUUAUCAGUAGUGGUUGUCAGUUGAGGAGGGUAUUCAACCGGAUCAUCUGAACUGAGACUACUUUAAGACCGCUUUCUAGGGAAAAUAUGUGGGUGCAAGCUCUGUGGAUGCUUGUAGGCGUGAGUUCACGAAUCUCACGCAAGGUGAUAAGUCUGUGGUCGAGUAUGAGGUCAAAUUUCUGAGACUGAGUCGCUACGCUCAAGGCAUUGUGGCAUCUGAGUAUGAGAAAUAUGUUUGUUUUAAGGACGGCUUGAGGGAUAGUCUGAGGGUAUUAAUUGCUUCACAGAGAGCGAGAGUUUGCUGUUCUUGUGGAUAAGGCGAAGAUCGCCGAGGAGGUUAAGGACGUAGAGUGCUAGAACAGAUAUCGUGAGAGAGGCAAGAAUAAGAAGGAUUCAGAGCCCUCUAGUUCUAUUCAGAGGCCUAAGAAAUUGCCCAGACCUGAUGGGCCUGUUAGGGUGGGAGUUAUUAUUGCUCUUACUAGGAUUCAGCCUUGUGGUGACUGUGGUAGGCGUCAUCUGGGUAAGUGUUGGAGGAGAUCGGGGCUUAUUUGCGGUAUGGGUCUUUAGAGUACCAGAUUAGAGAAUAUCCACAUCGUACCAAUUAGAUGCAAGCUACGGGACCAGGUUUUGUUCAGCCUCAGAGGACAGUACAACAGCCACCUAAGGGUCGUGGAUUGGCUAGGAGUGGUAAUGGUAUGAGUCAUGGACAGAGAGUACCAGACAAAGGUGUUAAUCAGACUGAGGCGAGACAACCUGCACUGGUUUAUACUGCUCGACGCUGAGAGGAUAGAGACGCUCCUGAUGUGAUCACGGAUACGUUUUUAAUUUUUGAUAUUUCAUAUAUUACUUUGAUAGACUUAGGUUCUACACACUCCUAUGUAGCUAGUGUUGCUUCAGAAAACUUGAGAAUUUCUGUUGAGUGUACUUGUGGUGAGAUUAUUGUACUGAGUCUGUUGGGACAGUCUGUUUGGGUAAAUAGACUUUAUAGGAAUGUUUCGUUGGAAGUAUAAUGGGUUAUCUUUCCGGCAAAUCUGAUGGAGCUAUCGUUUGGGGAGUUUGACUUAAUUCUAGGUAUGGACUGAUUAGUUGAACACCGAGUUAGUUUGGAUUGCGUAACUAAGAGGGUCAUUUUGAGGACCAAAGAUGAUAAGGAGGUGGUUGUGAUUGGUGAGCGUCGAGAUUACCAGUCUAAUAUAAUCUCCGCUCCAGUAGCUGAGAAAUUAGUUUGAAAAAUUGUGAGGCGUAUUUAGCCUACGUCAAUAUUUCAGUUUAUGGGGACUCUGCUGUCGGGGAUAUCAGAACAGUGAGGGAAUUUUUGGAUGUUUUUCCUGAGGAAUUGAUGGGUUUACCUCUAAAUCAAAAAGUUGAGUUUGACAUUAAGCUUCUACCGGGUACAAAAUUGGUAUUUAUAGUUCCUUACUGUAUGGCACUGAAGGAGCUUACAGAGCUUAAGGUUCAACUUUAAGAGCUUCUGGUUUCAUCCAUUCUAACGUGUCUCCGUGGAGGGCACCAGUUCUAUUUGUGAAGAAAAAUGAUGGUACCAUAAGGAUGUGCAUCGAUUACUAGCAGUUGAAUAAACUGACUGUGAAGAAUAAGUACCUACUUUCGAGGAUCGAUGAUCUGUUUGAUCAAUUUUGAGGGGCUUCAGUAUUCUCGAAAAUAGAUCUCUGUUUUGGGUAUCAUCAACUUAGAGUUAAGGAAGCUGAUAUUUAUAAGACGGCUUUUAGGACUCGUUAUGGGCACUACGAGUUCCUAGUUAUGCCCUUUGGUUUGACAAAGGCUCCAACUAGAUUCGUGGAUCUGGUGAACCAAGUUUUUGGUGUACUCUAAGAUUGAGGAUAAGCAUGACGAUCAUCUUAGGGUAGUGCUUCAGAUACUUCGAGAGAAACAACUUUACGCUAAGUUGAGAAAAUAUGAAUUCUGGUUGUGAGAAAUAACAUUUUUGGGGCACGUGGUUUCUACUGAGGAGAUCCGAGUUGAUUCUAGAAAGAUUGAGGUUAUGCUUGACUGGAAACAACCUAAGAACGUAUCUGAGAUCCGUAGUUUUCUAGGACUUACAUGUUAUUAUUGGAGGUUUAUUGAGGGGUUCUCGUUGAUUGCAACUCCUUUAACUAAGCUUCUGUGCAAGAGUGUUCCUUUCUUCUAGACUGAUGCGCAAUAAUCGAGCUUUGGAAAGCUCAAGUCUAUUUUGACUCAAGCUCUUAUUUUGGGAUGUGUACUGAUACAAGAUAGUAAGGUUAUGGCUUAUGCGUCUCAAUAGCUCAAGUCACGCGAGGGAAAUUAUCUGAUGCAUGAUCUCUAGUUGGCUACGGUAGUGUUUGUACUAAAGAUUUGUAGGCCCUAUCUGUAUAGUGAGAGGUGUAUUAUCUACACCGAUCACCAGAGCCUCAAGUACCUCCUUACUCAGAAGGAAAUCUUAGGCAACAUCGAUGGAUUGAGCUGCUAAAAGAUUAUAACUGCACGAUGGAGUAUCAUCCCAGUAAGACUAAUGUGGUGGCUGAUGCUCUCAGUUGUAAAGCGAUGACUGAUUUGAUAGUAGUGUUCGCUCUUCUUAGUCUGUUGGAUGAUGGGGGUCUGUUAGCCGAGUUGCAAGUUAAGCUGACUUGGAUUGGGCAGAUUUGGGAAAGGGGAUGAGUCACUGGUUCUGCGGUUUGUCAGGUUGGGAGUGGCUAUACUUUUGAUUUUAGACUAAAUAAGGAUGGAGUUCUGUGUUUUUGAGGACGGGUUUGUGUAUCAAAUGAUUUUGAUCUGUUCUGAGGGAAGCGUAUAGUAGUCCUUAUGCUAUACAUCCUAGUGGUAAUGGAUUUUCGUGAGCUGUACUAGUGGCCGAGGUUGAAACGAGAGGUAAUAGAUUUUUUUAUUCAUUGUCUGAUAUGCCAGCAAAUUAAAGUUGAGCAUUAGUUUCCUUCGAGUUUUCUCCAACCCGUUAGGAUUCUUUUAUAGAAAUGAAAACGAGUGAUGAUGGACUUCGUUAGUGGGUUGUCCUUGACACUCAUUAAGAAUAAUUUUGUUUGGGUCAUCAUGCAUCGAUUGACCAAAUCUGCCCAUUUGAUUCUGGUCCAGACGAACUUCUUUCUACAAAAGUUAGAGAAGCUCUAUAUCUCCGAGAUUGUAAGACUGCAUGGGGUUUCAGUUUCGAUAAUUUCUGAUAGGGAUCCUUGCUUCACUUCUCGUUUCUGGAUGAAACUUUAGGAAGCCCUAGGUUCGAGAUUGCACUUCAGUACUGCGUUUCAUCCUCAGACCAAUGGUCCAUCAGAGAGGGUGAUUCAGAUACUGGAGGAUAUGCUUCGGAGUUGUGUGAUUGAUUUUUGAGGUAAUUGAGAGGAUUUUCUGUUGUUAGCUGAAUUCACCUGUAACAAUAGUUUCUAUUCUAGCAUUCAUAUGGCACCUUACGAGGCUUCGUAUGAUCAUAAGUGUCGUACUUCACUAUGUUAGACUGAGUUAGGUGAGUGAUAGAUUUUGGGUCUUAAGUUGGUUUUCUAGACUGAAAAUAAGGUUAGAUUGAUUCGGGAUUGUCUGAAGGCGACUUUUGAUAGACAGAAGUCCUAUGCAGAUCUAAAAAAGAGGGAUAUUGAGUACUCUGUGGGUGAUUCUGUAUUCUUUAGGGUAUCACCGUGGAAGAAGGUUCUACGAUUCGGUCGUAAUGGCAAGUUAAGCCUUAUUCAUUGGGUCGUACCAGAUUCUGAAGCAUGUGGGACUGGUUACUUAUCAGCUAGAGUUACUUCUAGAGUUGGACUAUAUCCAUGAUGUGUUACACGUCUCGAUGUUGAGGCGGUACUAGUCUGAUCCAUCUCACGUUGUCUUUGUUGAGGAGAUCGAUGUUAGACCAGAUUUAACUUUUGAGGAGGAACCGGUUCAGAUUUUGGAUCGAGAUAUUAAGGUUUUGAGGAGGAAGUCCAUAUCGUUAGUGAAGGUUCUGUAGUGGAAUCAUGGCAUUGAGGAAGCCACGUGAGAACUUGAGGACUUGAUGCGUCAGCAGUAUCCUCAUCUGUUCGGAUCAGGUAAAUUUCGAGCCAAAAUUUCUUUUAGAGGGUAGAGUUGUAACGCCCUGAAUAAUUUAAGUAUGUUUUUAUUAAAUUUGACAUAAAAUGUGUAUCUGCUUCAGUGGUUAAGUGUUCUGGGUGUGUGUAUGAGGUCUUGGGUUCAAGUCUCCCUUUUAGCAAACUUUGUUAUUUUGAUCCAAGCCUUCUCUCUGUUAAGUGGGCUUAUGUUUUAUCUUUAGUAAACUUAUAUUAGAAUAAGCUUACGGGUUCGAGUUAUAAGGAGUUAGCUUGCUAGAAGUCCUGUGUUUGAUUCCCUGUGUGAGCGUGGAUGAUAUUUUUGUUUCGGAUGUGAGAUAGAGGUUGGGUGGAAGUAAAAUUCUGAGGUGGUGGGGAGUUAGUGGGUUAGUUAGUGAGAUAAUGGGAAGUUGAGAUAUUAGGGGUUUCAAAUUUUAUUUUAAUUUUAAUUUUAAUUCUUUGUCUUCUCAAAGUUUCUGACGUCAAUUUUUUUCUCUUUUUUCCCUCUUUCGACAUUGUUCCCUUCUCGGUAAAAUUCCUUUUCUUUUUUCUUUGAUUCUAUUUGUGGAUCCCUUGUUCAACUCGUUGCUACUAUGAUUUUCGAGUUCUUUAAUCGGUUGGUAAGUAGAACUUCGCAUCUUUUUAACAAUUGGUUUGGGAUAUUGGCGAUGUUAAGCUAUAGCGAUUAAUUAGUGGAAUCUGUAUUUAGGAGAAGAUUGUAAAGUAGAAAAUUCACUCCGACGGCCUAAUCCGUGUUAGUGGUGGUUUUCAUCGACGGUAAGUUUGUGAGCGUUGUUGAAUUUUUGUUAUGAAUUUGUAAAUUUGUUGCUAAGCAGGGCUAGGGUUACUAUUUACAGGUUUCGGUGAUCUCGGGAUUGGUUAUACUACAAAAACGAAUCAGGUGUGUACCCUUAACGUGAGAAAAUGAGAUUCGAUGAAAGCUGAAAUUAGAGUCUGUUUAUGCCACACGGGUGUGUGCCUGACUGUGUGGCACGACACGACCGUGUGACUGACGAGGGUGUGACCAUGCGCAAGACACGGCUGUGUGAUAGUGUGUUAGGAGUUUGGUUGAGUGUGGGUCUUAGCUUAUUUGGUACCUUAGUUUUUUUUGUUCAAUUUAAUUCCUGAACUUAAUAUUUUUUUCUUAAUUUAGUACUUAAGCUUCUUUUUUUUCCAAUUUGGUAUCUAACUUGUUAAAGGUUUUACAAAUUUCUCCAAUAUAAUAACAAUUUUAUUUUUAUAAGGUGCGAAAAUAAUCAAUGUAUGAUUAACGUAUGACAGAUGACAUGAGAUUGAUUUUUUGUAUUUUAAUGGUUAAAUUACUUUUAAUUAAUUAUUUUAUUUUACCUUUUUAAUUUAAUAAUGAAUUUCUUUUUAUUUUUGGGUUUUAAAACUUUUUUUUCAAUAUUCAUUCAUUAAGCGUAGCUCAAAGUACAAUCUUUUAACAUAAUUUUCCUCUAAUACUGACAAUAUUUUUGUGGGAUUUGAUGGCUUUAUGAAAACUAGGUCAUGCUUUAAGCAUGUGGUUCCUCUUGUAACAUUCUUGCCAUUAACUGUCAAAGUAAUCUUAGCCUUGAUGAAAUGUAAAUUUUGAACAUGUUGUUUAGAAAAAUAGAGAAAACUUCAAAUAAAUGUAAUCAUCCCUGUCAUUAAAUUCCAUAUCAUUGGUCACAUGACAACCAUACGUUAGCUACCUCAUAAAAAAAAUGAAGAUCAUUAGUGUUUUGAGGUAAUUUGUAUAAUAUUUAAAAGGUUUAAGUGUCAAAUUAAAUAAAAAAUGAUUAAGUAUCAAAUUAUAAGAAAAAUGUCAAAAUUAAGUACCAAAUGUUAAAUAAUUAUAACAAUAUAUUAUUAGUCGGCUUACAGUUUGAUUUCCUCUUUCCCAGUUGAUUGGAACAGUUUGUGGACAAAGGGUUUGAUAUUAGAGGCGGGAUUUAGGGUUUAACAUUUAAAAAUUUAUGGUUAAAAGUUUAUAAGGUUUAAAAUUUAGGAUUUGUGUUUUGUAAAAAUAAAAAUAGAAGUAUAUAUUUAUUUUACAAAGUCACAAAUUUGUAAAAAAAAAAAAUUAAAUUAAAUUAGUUUCUAGAAUUACAUUAAGAAUAAACUUUCAACAUUCACUCAUUUUCUUCUAAGAUUUUAAGAUAAUGGAUUUAUCAUGCGAAGACUUGAACCCCACAAUAUACGAUAUAUGAAGAUAAUGGAUUUAUUUAACCCCACCAUGCAACAUAUAAGGAUAUAUGGUUAGGUAAACUCAUAUUUUCUUUUAUAAAGUUUUACAAUUAAUAAAGAUUAUUUUUUAGUAAAAUAUAAAUUCAAACUCGCACACAAAUAAAUUUAUGAUUUCGACCCUAAUUUCAAAUAUAAAUGAACUUUUAAAUUAUGGGUAUCGUAUUAUGAAACGAUAAACUUCCUAUGUGCCACAUUGAAAUUUUUUAUAUGGAGUGAAUCUCAUAAUUUUUGUUUUCUUAAUUUUGUUUUAAAGCAAUGAAAUAUAGAUCACGUGAAUGUUGAUAUAAAAUGGGAAAUGGAGACGAGUGAUAUUAAUUUGUAGAUAAAGUUAAUAUUACGUAGUCGCAUAAAGCGGCAUAGUACACAACCCACAACUCUGGAAUUUUAACAUCCAUAUUUAUUCUGUAGCUAUCGUUAUUUUGGCUUCCACUAGCUGGUGAACUUUCCAUGCCAAAACUUCACUUGACGCUGCAAAUGAAACAACAAAAAACACAACAUUAAAUGUUGAGCAAGUAAUAAGCAUAAGCAAUGAAACAACUCAUACGAACCUGUUGCAGUCAGUGCUAGGGCUGAUCUUGUAAGGGAUGUUGACACCGCACUUGCCUGGGAGUCCGCUUGCAAUACCAUAGUUGAUGCCAGAAAUGCCGGCGGCCGCACUUUUGAUGCAUUUGCAAGCUGCUUGCCGGUCUGGUGUUGUUUGGGCGGCGGAGUUGAGAGAUUUUAUGCCGCCGCAGCAACCUGGGGGAACGCCACCAGCACCAUUCCCUGUCAAGUAACCAAUGCAGGGUGCGAGGGAGCUUGUGACUUGACCACAGGUUACGGCCCCUUGAGCCAGGGGUGCACCCACCACCAUGCACAACACCGCCACACAUGCAAGCUUAAGGGACAUUGAGCUAGCCAUAUCGAUUAAUCACAAGAAAAACAAACUUGUAAGGAAAAUGCUUGCUUGGAGUAGUAGUACUAUUGCUGAUUGUCGUGGUUAGGGCUUGAGGGUAGGAGGGUUUUUAUAGCCAAAAGUAGUAGCGGGUGAUGUCUGAAUUUUACUUUCCUAGCUAUUAGGUAAGUUGAGAUUAUCCGAUCCAAACAUUAACACACCACAUUAAAAGUUGAGACCAUUCAAUUAGGUUCAACUGCCAACCUACGUGAUUAUUGUUUUCUUUCAAUACAAUUAAAACCAGCGUCCAUUUGAUUUCACUCAAUCAUGCCUCCACAGCUAGGACUCAAAUAUUGGUUUAACUUUUUUCUAGGUGUUUUCUUAUAAACAUGAGAUUUACAUUUGAUGUAUUUAUAACUGCAUUUAUUGUCAGAAUGAUACCAUUUUAUUAAAAGUAAUUUGAUUUAUAAUUGUUUGUAUAUAUACUUUUAUAUAUUAAGUCUUUAAUUGAAUUGGUAUUACGAUUCACCCAAGCAUCUAUUUAAUUGAAAAUUUGUUAAAAUAUUCAUAUAACAAAUAUUAAUAUAAAUGUAUUUUUAUUUUUAUUAUAAAUAAAACUAUAAUAAGAUUUAAACUUAUGACUCAUAAAUUUUACUCUUUUUAACUUAACUAUUUCAACUAAAAUUUUAUUUAGUUUUAAUAUAAAUUUUUAUAAAUAUAUUAUUUACAUGAAUUUUCCUUUUCCAGGCGGUAUGCCAUGGAACUAAUAUAAAAUAUAAACAAAUGGUUAUUUUGUUAUUUUCAAUGGAAAAAAAAAACUUCACAAGAUUAGGACACAUGCAUGGUUUUUUUAAUAUAUAUAUAUAUAUCAUGCAACAUUCUAAAUCUAUUUAUAGAUUAUUUUGUUGAUUGAAUUUUUAUUUUUUUUUAUUUUGGUAAUUAUAUAAAACUAAAUAUUUUCUUCGCGCAAUGUUAAGAGCAGUUUGAAAUUUAAAAGAAGUGUGGAUUCUAAUAAUAAAUUUAGUUAUCUAAUGUUUACAUAUUUUAUUAAUUUGGCCUUAAAUAUAAAAAUUAAAUUCAACAAAAUUAGCCCUCAAUGUUUACAAAAUUUUUCAUUUUAGUUCAAAUUCUAAAAUAAUCCAAUAAAUUUAGCUCUCAACAUUUAUAAAAUGAAAGGAUUUGAUUUUUAAAAUUUUAAUUUUUUUUUUAAAAACCCAAAACACAAACCUAAAUAAACUGAAAAAGAAGAAGGAAUAAUUAUCAUCACCACGACCUAAUCUCUCAACUUUAAAAUAAGACUUCAACUUCGGUUUAACCCCAAGACAAGGCGAAACAUUGAAAGUAAGUGCAGCGGAUGCCAUUGAUUCUCCUACCUUUUGGCUAAACACAUAAAUUUGAACAACUUCAUACAUAACUAGCAGCAGUACUAAAAAAUCAUUAAUACUAUAUUUUCAAGUACAAGAAAUUGAAAAAAGAAUCACGGGUAGAGUACAAAAAUGAAAUUUGGUGUGAACCUAGAUUAACAAAACAAGGUUCACGGUUUCUCAAAAACACAAUACUAUAUUUUUAGAAUUUCUUGUGAAGAUCAAGCAAUGAGACAAAUACUGAAAUUGUGCCUUAAUAGCAAAUAAUAAUUCAAACCAAUGUAGAAAAAAGAUGAAGAAGAAGAAGAUAGGAAAAGAAUUUUUAGUUUACAUUAAAAGCCUUGAAAAGGUAGACCGAUAGGAUUGAUUGUUUUGAAUAUUACUCAACUUUCUCAUUAAUUCUUGUACUAUUAUGGCUAAGUGUGUUUUUAGAUGGUAAUGAAUUUUUUUAAUUGUUAAUAAUUUUUACAAUUAUUACACUUGAUUUGGCAGUUGUUUUUCUUUUUAAUUUACAAAAUUUUAAAAAAUUAAAAAUUUCUAUUUUGUAAAUGCUAAGAGCUAAAUUUAUUAUUAUUUAUUUUAGAAUCUAAACUAAAGUGACAAAUUUUGUAAAUAUUUGGUGUUAAAUUUAUUGGAUUUUUAUAUUUAAAAUCAAAUUGAUAGAAUGUGUAAAGAAAGUUAAUUUUUUUAUUAGACAAAUAAAAAAUAACCCAUUUCAACACUUCCGAAAAAUUUUCAAACGGCCGUUAACAUUUAGUGACGAAAAUAUUUGAUUUCAUAUAAUUUAAUAAUUAAAAUAAAAAUAAUUAAAAAUUUAGUAAUCAAAGUAAAACACAAGUGAUAUUAUUCUAGUGAUCAUUUCUGUACUUGACCCUAAUUUUUUUUUCAAAACACUGUUAAAAAACGAUUAAUUUCUCGUUUUGGCCGGAGUUAAAAUUUUUAAUAUAUUUGUUUUUAUUAAAUUUAAAAAUUAUAAUUUUACAUAAUAUAUUUUUGAUAGAAUACAUAUGAUAUAAUUUUAAUCAGUGACACCUGUUAAAGCUUGUUAGAUCUCCUGUAUCUCUUUCAAUCUGGUGGUAAAUGAAGCAAUCAAUGAGUAUUACAACCAGCCACAUGUCAUUCAAUUCACAUUAUAUCAAUCUUUUCCCUUUUCUCUCAUUUUGGUAGUUAAUUCCUUUUUUUGUCAUCGAAAUUAUAUUUUUUUCUCAAAUUGAUAAUUUCCUUAAUCCGUUAAGUUUGUUAAAAGAAACCUUAAUCUUAUUUAAAUUAUAUCUUUUUUUAUUUAUUUUGAUACUUAAACAUUUUUGUCACAUGUGGUAUGUAAUUUAUUUUUUCUUAAGUUGUUAGUUUAAUUAUUACUCAAAUAGUUAAGUCUAUUUAAAAAAAGAUAACUAUUUAAAAAUUACCAUAUUCGAACUAGCUAGGCCAUUAGUUCCUGGUUUAAUCAGUUUAUCUAGUUUGAUGAAAUCAAUUAUUAAAAAUUCAUAAAAAUAAAAAUGUUAAAAAAUAGAGAAAACUAGCUCAACUAGUUUUUUUUUUAAGCUCGACUCAAUCAAUCUGUAUUAGUUUGUAGGUUAAUCGGUUCAAGCCCUAUCUCCAAACUAGUAUCCCAGUUGGUUCCUAGUAUUAAGGGUGAGCAAAAUUUGAAUCGACUCGAAAAAAUUUAAAAAAGUUCGAAUUUUGAAUUAUUCGAAUCGAGUUAAUCGAAUCAACUCGAUUUUUUUUUAAUUUCAAGUUCGAGUCGAGUUGAGUUUUUGAAUUCAAAUAACUCGAAUAAUUCGAUUAAGCCGAAUACCAAACUAUAAUAUUUUACAUUUUACCUCAAACCCCAAACCCUUUUACUUUUCCCCCAAAACUUUACUCAUUCCUCCUUGUCUGCCCCUGUAACGCCCCAAAUUUUGAAUUGUUACUGUUAGUUUCUAUUUAUAAGUAAGUAUUUGCUUCAGUGGUUAAGUGUUAUGUGUUGGUGUUUGGAUCGGGGGUUCAAGUUAUACUUUUAGAGAAUUUUAUUAUUCUUUUGUUUCAACUCUUAUCCUUGAAUGUUUGAAUUAAGUUUGUAUCUGCAUUAAUUUGUGUCAAGAACGAGUCUUCUAGUUUAAUGGUUAAGUUUUGUAUUACCUAUGGUCUCGUGUUCGAGUCUCUGCGUAGGCAAUAAAGAAAUAUUUUGGCGUGCUAUCGGGAAAUCAGUUUUAUUUUAAUAAUUAUUUUUAUUUAAAACUUAUUUUUAGUUUUUUUUAUUUUGGUUCUUCUCCUUCCUUACUGUUCAUUUCCUUCUUCUUUUUUCUCCUUUUGUAACACCCCUAACUCGAAUCCGUCGCUGGAACAGGGUUAGGAGUAUUAUCGAAGUUUACAAUUUAAACAGGCAGAAAAAUUAAACAUUUCAUAACAUAUAGCAUUCAUGUUAGAAACCAAUCAUAAUUAUGCAUAUUGUCCCUAAUACGAGCCCUCGAGGCCCAAAAUACACCUUAGAAAUAAUUCGGGACUAAAUUGAAAAUUCGGAGCAUUUUUUAGAAACUUAUAAAAUUUUUAAAACUACAGGGGUCACAUGGCCGUGUGGCUAGGCUGUGUGACUCAUAUGGCCAACAGACACGCCCAUGUCUUAGACCGUGCGGGUAUUCGAAAUAGGGACACACGGUCGUGUCCCAGCCUGUGUCCAUGCCCGUGUAACUCACUAACUUGGGCCACACGGUCAAGCCAUACGCCCGUGUGCCAGGCAUUGUGAGCAUACUAACUUGCAUUCUUUAAAAGAUACAGGGGACACACGGCCAUGUCACCUGACCGUGUGUGACACACGCCCGUGUCUCUGCCCGUGUGGACAAAAAUAGGCUAUUUUUCAAGUCAUAAAUAUUCAUGUAUUCUUUAAAAGAUACAGGGGACACACGCCCGUGUCUCUGCCCGUGUCUCUGCCCAAUUUGGUACCAACCUAAACACAACAAUUUGCAUAUAACCAAGUCAUAAAUAGGCACCCAAAACCAGCCAAAAUCAAGCUUAAAACAUGUAAUAUCAUCACAUACAACCAAUAUGCCCUUAGGCACCUCAAAUGACAACUUAUAAUAUUAAUAUUCAUGUAUUCAAUAUAGCCAAAUGUAUAACUCACUUAUAUGCAUAUUUUCAUCCAAAGUUUAUUAAGCAAAUUUACAUCAUUUCUUACCAAAUUACUUACCUUCCAAAACAUAUUAUUUGGUGCUAAAAUGUAUUUAACAUACUAACAUAUUUAACUUAUAUGCCUUACAUAUCCAGACACCAAUUCAUGAUCAAUUCUUCACAUUUCAAAACACAUAUAUGAAAUGCACAUUAGGUUACCUUUUUACCACUAUUUAUUCAAUCAUGAACCAAACUACAUGUCAACCAUAAUAAGCAAAAUAUGCACAUAUCCAAAAUUCCAUAACACAAACAAAACAAAUGGCUAAUCUCAACAAAACACAUAUAAGCCAACAUUGGCCAAACUAAUCUAUACAUGCCAUUAUAACCGAAAUUAAACAACCGAAUGUACCAAAAGAGCCAAUGGAUAGUGUGAUAUAGCUCCGACAAGCUUCCAACCAGAACGAGCUUUCGAAUCACUAAAAACACAGAAAAUAACACAGAGUAAGCAUUCAAGCUUAGUAAGUUCAUAUAGCAUAUAAUUUAACUUACCAUUUAGUCACAUUUAAGGUAAGCAUACAAAACAUAUCCAAACUCAAUUAGGAUAAAAGCCUCAACACAUAUCCUCAUCAACCAUGUUAGUCAUGUAAUUCAUAUAAAUAUCAAGAAACAUGUAUGAGCUCAACAAUAAUCAAACUUCUAUGUACAUAUAAUUUCCACAUCAUGUAUUUACAUAUCAUGUACAAAUCAUUUUCAUAUAUCUCAUGUAAAUACAUGUAGUAGUUUGUAUUGAACUCGUGUAAUAUCAUAACAGAACAGUGCCCGUUGAACCAUUUAGAUUAUUUUUGGAUACGCGGAUAGUACACAUGAGGUGUACUGAACUGUAAUUCAUCAAUUCAUGUACAUGUAUGCUCAUAUGAGCUAUAAACAGUAAGCUCCUCUGAAAUGAAUAACAAUAAGCUUGUACAAGCUGAAUAUCGGUAAGCUCAUAUGAGCUGAGUAUCGGUAAGCUCAUAAGAGCUGAAAUCGAUAACCCUAAUGACAUGUUUACCAAGCCAUGACAUUCCACUAACACAUUUAACCUUUAAAAUUAUUUCAAUUUACAAGUUUAAGAAAGAACAUAAAAGAUGAUACUUGGCUUUAUUUUACUAAAUUUUGUUAUUUACUUAAUUACUUAUUUAACCUUUAAAAUCAUUUCAAUUUACAAGUUUACUAAGCCAUGACAUUCCACUAACACAUUUAAGGGUUAUUUACCAUAUAAGGACCUCUACUUUAAAUUUUUAUAGCUAUUUAAUACCUUUAGCUAUUAGAACUUUACUUUUACACUUUACGCGAUUUAGUCAUUUUUAUCAAAUUGAACAUGUAAACGGUAAAAUUUCUUAACGAAAUUUUCAUAUGGUAAUAUUAUCAUGUUUUCGACCAUAAAAUAAUAAUAAAAUAAAAUUUUUUACUUCAUAUUUGUGGUCCCAAAACUACUAUUCUGAUUUCACUGAAAAUGGGUUGUUACACCUUUCUUGCUUGAUUGCUUCCGUAAGUUUGCUAUCGUGCUUAAUUGGGCAUUCUGUGUGGUUUCUUACAUUGAUUGCAAGGAUAUUGCGUAAGUUAUGUUCUUGUUUUUUACCUAUUUUUUCUAGACUUCGUCUGUUUCGUCGAGGUUAGAUAUUACUGUUAAUGGUUGUAAAAUCUCGUUAAUAGUUCCAAUGGAUCUUCUUUUAGGAAAAGGUUUCAAAAGUAACAUUUCCCUGUGAGAUUAGGUCCGAAUUGUUGUUGCUUGCUUGUCAGUAAUUGAAAAUUUCUAUUUUGGAUAGCUGCGUCGAAGUUUUCGACGAACGUUAGUUUUGAGUGCUAAUUUUGGCAUUUUGAGUUGAUUUAGUCAUUUAAUUGGUCAAUUAAUUGUCGUUUUAGGUUUCAGAUUCUUGUGUGUUGCUUCUACAUCGAAACUACAUCAAGUGUGUAACGAAAACUCAUUUUUCUAUGAUUUACGAAUGCUAGAAAACAUGGCUGUUAAUCACACGACCGUGUGUUAGGCCAUGUAACUUACUGUUUAUGUAUUAAAGUCACCGAGCCAAGGACGUGGGCAUGUGUCCUAGUCGUGUAACUUACUAUUUGUGGAUUGGAGUCACACAGGCUAGGGACACGUUUGUGUGUCCAGACUGUGUGAAGGAAAUUUUAUGAAUUGAGUCACACAAGCGUGUGCUUGACUAUGUCAUAGACCGUGUAACUCACUUUUUUGAGCCACACGAUCGUGUGCCAGGCCGUGUGAUAGAUCGUGUGCUACACGGGCCAGCCUUCCGGGACAUGUGAAUCCACACAAGUGUGUGGGUCAAAAUUUCAAAUUUUUUAUUAGGGCCGUAAACAUCAUUCCAGUCAAACGUAGGCCUACUGUAGGGUCUGGAUGAUCUGAUUUGGGUUAUAAAACCCAUUGACUAGUUAUCUGUUUCUGUAUAAACUGUUAUUUUAUAUACAUCAUAGAAUUGUAAACUAGAGAGUAGUUGUAUUCUGUAUUAAUUGAGUAUAACCUGAAAUUUGUAACAUCGUAUGCUUAUAUCUGUAUCUGUAACAUUGCAUCUGCAUUGGGGUUGGGAUUGAAUAAGGAGGAAGUUAUGGCAGUUAAAUAAUCUGCUAAGACCGGUGGCUAAGACACGUAAAUGUAUCUAAUUUUGGUGACUUUCGCAUUCUGUCCUAGCAAUUAGUCUGCAACCUUUUGAACGUGACAUAUGGUCACUAUGUGGUGUGUAGGGACGAUACCCUUUUUGGUGUGUAGGGUUGGAUGAAGAUGGUGUGUAAUUGACAUAUUCUACUCUAUUUCCGUAUAUAAUUCUGAGAACUGUUCGAACUUUAAGAAAUUGAAGAUCUAUUUUGUUGUUUCACUUAAUAAUAAUAUAAGUUAUACGCUAUGUAUAACACCCUUUACCCGAGACCGUGGUCGGAGUCGAGCAUGAGGUGUUACUUGACUUAAAUUAAAAGUUCAGGGCAUAAAAAUUUACUUUCAAAAUUAAUUUCACCAUUCACAAUAAAGUUGUCCACCUGAGCAGCAGUCACUAAAUUAAUUAUAACUCAAGCUAAGAAACUCGAAAUUUAGAUUCGUAAAUUUUCCCUGAAACUAGACUCAUAUAUCUAUUCACAAAAUUUUUUUAGAAUUUUUGAUUUGACCAAUUAGUACAGUUUAUUAGUUGAAGUCUCCCCAGUUUCACUAAUCGACUAUCCUGACCUCUCGUCACUAAAAUUCAAUUAUCUCAUUAUACACACUUGGCAUGCUGAUUCCACUUAUUUAUACUUAAAAUAUACUCAUUAAGGAAUUUAAAAAUAUAAUUUAUAACUCAUAAUUCUAUUUGUACAAUUUUUAAUGAAUUUCUAAAGUCAGAACAGGGGACUUCAGAAUCAUUCUGACUCUGUCUCACUAAAAUUAAAAUAUCUAAAAGUAUAUAACUCUUUUACUUACUCUAUUGCUUUCAUGUGAAAGUAGACUCAUUCAGAUUUAAUUUCAUCUCUCGCUAAACUUAUAAUUCUAUUUCUACAAUUUUUGGUGAUUUUUCAAAGUUACAUCAAUGCUGCUGCCCAAAAAUAGUUCCAUUGAAAUUUUUUUAAAAAAAUUCAAUAUAACCCCUUUAUAAUUAUCUAACCUUCCCUGCAAAUUUCAAAUCACAACCAAUUUCAGUAUUUCAACUACUUCACUUAAAUACUAAUGAAGUUCAACUAAUCAACCAUUUCAAACUAAAAACAUGUAUAGUUCAAUGUUUAACACAACCAUCACAUUCAAAUUUAUUCAUUCUAUUACUUUUUACUUCAAUUCCCUAUACAUGUCAUAUAAAUCCAAAAAGUUGUUUAACAAAAUCUACAGGAGUAAAUCUGGAUAGUGUGAUUCUUGGUGUAGAUCUGAUCCUCCGAAUGUAUAAAUACGUCAACCUACAAGAAUCAAUAAACACACAAUUAAGCGUAUAGAAAGCUUAGUAAGUUCAUAGGCACCAAACAUAAAUCUUACCAAACAUUUAUACACUUAUACAUUAUACACCAUUACUAAGUUUACCUGUCAACCACAAUCUUUGGUGAGCUCCUUAGUAUAAACUCACUACUACUUAUUCUUUUACCAUAAUUCCUUUGGGCCCAUUUGUCACUUACCAUCCUUGAUCAAAAUUAAGGAACGGUUACGGAAAAUUGAGUACUUCACUUUCACUUUGCCAUAGUAUAACUAUGGUCUUACGUAUGAUCAAGCAUCACUUGUCCUUGAUAAGAUAAGUGUAGCUAGGCAACCACUUAUCACUUUGUCACUUGAUCAGAUAAGUGUAGCUAAAGCUACCACUUAUCAUUUUAUCACCACUUAUCACUUGUUCUUGAUUAGAUAAGUGUAGCUAAAGUUACCACUUAUCACUUUGUCACCACUUAUCACUUGUUCCUAAUCAGAUAAGUGUAGCUAAAACUACCACUUAUCACUUUGUCACUUGAUCAGAUAAGUGUAGCUAAGCUAUCACUUAUCACUUUGUCACUUGAUCAGAAGUACUCAAAUCCGGUGUUCUACUCAAUUUGAUCAUUUAUUCAGUUUUCACAUUUUUAUUUUAUUCUCAUUUCAUCAAUAAAUAUAUAUAUUUCAUCAUACAUUAUAUAAUUCAUGAAAUUAACAUUUAAUCAUUAAAUUUUAGCCAUAUGAACUUACCUGGGUUGAUUUGCUGAAUUUGUAAAAGUUUAGGGACUAAUCAGCUACUUUUUCUUUUCCUCGACUUGUUUCGGGUUCUCAAUAUGAUUCAAAUAUAUGAAAAACCAACUUGGAGGGACUCUUCAAUGGUGUUUUUUGCUAAAAAAUAUGAGGAAUUGCCUAGAAACACUUUUAGUUAAGAUUUUUAUUUGUUAAUUUUUACAAAAUUUCCAAUUUUGCCCUUAUUACAUCACUUUUUCAAAUUUUUCUUCUCUUAUGUCGUCUCAACUAUUCCAUAUUGGCAUAUUUAUGCCUUAAGUCCCUCCUUAUUUACCACUUAAGCUAUUUAAUCACUUUUAACAAAUUUUACAUUAUUUUCAGUUUAAUCCUUUUUAAUUAAUUAACCACCCAAACGUUAGAAUUUUCUAACGAAAAUUUAAUACCAACUCAAUGACACUCCAUAAAUGUUUCUAAAAAUAUUUAUGGCUCGAUUUAUGAGGUUGAGGUUUCAAUACCUCAUUUUCGAUUCUAAUUAUUUUAAUAUUUAUUCUUAGUACACUAUUCACUAUUUCAAAAAUUUUCCUAACUUCGCAUUUAACUUAUACUCACUAAAUUAAUAAUAUUUUCUACUCAUUUGUCAAAUUUAAUGAUCUCGAAUUACCAUUCCGACACCACUGAAAAUUCAGGCCAUUACAACUCUCCCCCCAUUUUGGAAAUUUCAUCCCCGAAAUUUCGUACCUGAAAAUAAAUUCGGAUACUGAAAUCUCAGCAAUUCCUCUGUUUCCCAGGUUGCCUCCUCUUUAACCUUAACUAGUGGUACAUGUUUAUUCCUCAACUCUUUAACCUUCUGAGCUAAAAUUUUCACCGGUUCCUCUGAAUAAGUCAUGUCAGGUUGAAGCUCUAUUUCCGUAUGAGGAAUUACAUGUGAUGGAUCUGAUCUGUACCGUCUCAACAUAGACACAUGAAACACAUUAUGAAUCUUUUCAAGUUCCGGGGGCAAAGCUAAUCUAUAGGUUACCGGACCGAUUCUUUCAAUGAUUUCAUACGGCCCAAUAAAUCGUGGGCUGAGUUUCCCCUUUUUGCUGAACCGCAAAACUUUCUUCCACGUGACACUUUCAAAAAUACACGAUCACCCACAUUAAACUCUAUAUCCCUUCUCUUCAAAUUUGCAUAUGAUUUUUGCCGAUCGGAGGUAGCUUUUAAACAAUCUCGAAUAAUACGAACUUUUUCUUCAGUUUCCUGAGUCAAUUCCACUCCCACCAGUUUCGAUUCACUUAAUUCAGACCAAUAUAAUGGAGUUCUACACUUUCUUCCAUACAAAGCUUCAAACGGUGCCAUUUUAAUGCUAGUUUGAUAACUAUUAUUAUAAGCAAAUUCGGCUAAAGGUAAAUACCUUUCCCAGCUACCGCCGAACUCAAGUAUACAACACCUUAACAUAUCUUCUAAAAUCUGAAUCACUCGCUCUGACUGCCCAUCUGUCUAGGGAUGAAAAGCUGUGUUGAAAUUUAAUUUGGUGCCUAAAGCUUCCUGUAAUUUACUCUAAAAUCUCGAGGUAAAUCUCGGAUCUCGAUAUGAAAUAAUAGAUGUCGGUACCCCAUGUAACCUCACUAUCUCAGACACAUAUAACUCCGCUAACUUUUCAAGCUGAUAAUCUGCUCUGACUGGAAUAAAAUGUGCUGACUUAGUUAACCGAUCAACAAUCACCCAUAUUGAAUGUUUCUUCUUCAGAGUUAUUAGUAAUCCAGAUACAAAAUCCAUUGUAACAUGUUCCCAUUUCCAAUCUGGAAUCAUAAUGGGCUGUAACAACCCUGUCGGCACUUGAUGCUCAGCUUUCACCUGUUGACAGAUCAAACAUCUUGCUACAUACUCAAAGAUUUCCCGUUUCAUUCCGGGCCACCAAUACAUUUUCUUCAAAUCACAAUACAUUUUUGUACUACCCGGGUAAAUAGAACACAUACUACUGUGAGCCUCUGAUAAAAUAUCAUUUUUCAAGUUUAAAUUAUUCGGAAUACAUAUUCUAUUACGAUAAUAUAACAUACCAUUUUCAUCAAUGGAGUAUUCUGAGCUUAACUUAUCUUGAACCAUCUGUCGUUUUAUCAUCAAUUUUGGGUCAUCAUCCUAUAACUCCCGAAUCCGUUGAAAAAACACGGGUUUAGCCUUUAAUUCUGCUAGUACAGAACCAUCCUCAUUAAUAGAUAAAUGAGCAUUCAAUGCCCGUAGUGCAAAUAAUGAUGAUUUCCGACUAAGCGCAUCUGCUGCGGUAUUUGCUUUCCCUCGGUGAUAGUCAAUGACAAGAUCAUAAUCUUUCAGCAACCCCAACCAUCGUCUCUGUGUCAAAUUUAACUCUUUCUGAGUCAUUAAAUACUUCAAGCUUUUAUGAUCAGUAUACACGUAACAUUUCUCACCAUAUAAGUACUCUUCAUAUCUUCAAAGCAAACACGAUCGCUGCCAAUUCCAAAUCAUGUGUAGGAUAAUUCUUCUCGUGCGGUUUCAGUUGCCGAGAAGCAUAUGCCACCACUUUGCCUGACUGAAUAAGUACACAGCCCAACCCAUUUACAGACGCAUCACUAUAUACUACAAACGGUACACCCGAUUCUGGUUGAGUCAACACUGGAGCCUCUGUCAACAUCUUUUUCAACUAAUCGAAACUCCGCUGACAUUCAUCUAACCAUAUAAAUUCAACAUUCUUUUGUAGCAAUCGAGUCAACGGUAAGGUAAUCAUUGAGAAAUCUUUGACAAAUCGACGAUAAUAACCUGCCAAUCGUAGAAAACUCUGCACUUCAGUCACAUUCUUCGGAACUUUCCAAUUUAUCACUGCUGCUACCUUACUUGGAUCCACUCUUAUUCCAUCAGCUGAUACAAUAUGACCCAAAAACGCAACUUCAUGGAGCCAAAAUUCACAUUUGCUAAAUUUGGCAUACAAUUGUUUCUCCCACAAAGUCUGUAAUACAAUCCUUAGAUGUUGUGCAUGUUCGGACUCUGUCUUUGAAUAAAUCAAUAUAUCGUCAAUGAACACAACCACAAAUCUAUCCAAAUAUGACUGAAAAAUUCUAUUCAUCAAAUCCAUAAAAGCAGCAGGGGCAUUGGUUAAACCAAAUGGCAUCACCAAAAAUUCAAAAUGACCAUAUUGAGUUCGAAAGGCAGUUUUCGGCACUUCACACUCUUUAACUUUCAACUGAUAAUACUCGGAUCGAAGAUCUAUCAUGGAAAAUACUGCAGCACCUUUCAACUGAUCAAACAAAUCAUCAAUAUGAGGCAAAGGAUUUUUAUUCUUUACUGUUACCUUAUUCAACUGUCUGUAAUCUAUACACAGUCUUAAAAAACCAUCCUUCAUUUUCACAAACAAGACAGGUGCACCCCAGGGCGACAUACUCGGUCUGAUGAACCCUUUAUCUAAUAACUCCUGCAGCUGCGCCUUCCGUUCUUUUAACUCGACUGGAGCCAUUCUGUACGGUGUCAUUGAGAUAGGAGUUGUUCCGGGGAUCACAUCAAUUACAAAUUCAACUUCUCUAUCAGGUGGUAGACCGGGUAACUCUUCAGGGAAUUCAUUCACCAUUGGCACUUGUUCGAGCUUCAAAUCAGAACCCUGAGUAUCCAGGAUAUAGGCCAAGAAUGCUUCGUUGCCUUUGCGUAAUAACCUCUGAGCAGAGAGAGCUAAAAUAAUUCUGACUGUAUCACCCAGCUUUUCAGACCCAACUGAGAUUAUAUCUCCCGUUUGACAUUUCAAACUGAUCUGUUUAUCACGACAAUUCACUACCACAUCAUGUCUCAUUAACCAGUCCAUCCCCAGAAUAAUGUCAAAUUCCCGAAAAGGUAACAACAUCAAAUCAGCGAGGAAUUCAUAGCCUUUCACUUUCAGUGGACAAUUACGACAUAUCAAAUUAACCAUCACACUUUGACCUAAUGGGUUUGUGACUUGUAUAUCAAAUUCAGUGGACUCAACAGAUAAUUUCUUUUUAGAUGCUAACAUAGUGCAAAUAUAUGAAUGAGUAGAUCCAGGGUCUAUCAAUGCAUAAACAAUAACAUCAUAAAGAUAGAAAGUACCAGCAAUUACAUCAGGAGCCGUAGCCUCUUUCCUUGCUCGAAUGGCGUAGGUACGUGCUGGUGCUCUAUUCUCUGAUCGACCAACUGAUUCCCUCGUACCCGAACGGGUAGUCCCUGUAGCACUGCUCUGGCCCGAACGUCUACUUUUUUGGGGAAUGGUUCUCUGUAUUUCUUUCUGUUCCACUUCAUCUUUUUAUAGUCGGGGACAAUCUCGAAUAAGAUGAUUAGUACCCCCACAUUUUUAACAAGCCCCCAUCUUGGUCCUGCAUUCUCUGAAAUGAUAUCUUCCACAAUAUUGACACUUAGGCCGGGGAACAUUCUGAACACUGCUCACACUUGCUGGAGGUCUAUCGAAUACCCUGAAAUCAGAUUGUCUUGGUCUAUCUCUACCCGAUCUUCUCGACAUUGAUGUAGUUCGACUAAUUUCUUCUCUAGAUUUGUUCACUGGUAAAUCUAAAAAUGACUUAGAAGCACCUCUUUUGAAUGGCUCUUUACUUUUUCGAUCCCGCUACAUUUUUCUGUUGUAUACUUCUUCGAGCUUUUGAGCACGGUUUGACAGAACAGGGAACUCUCGUAUUUCAUUACCCCCAAUCAUCAUUCUAAUUUCAUCAUUUAACCCUUCUUCAAACCUGAUACACAUUUCUUCUUUAAUAAGUACAAUGUCUCGGGCAUAUUUGCUGAGGUAGACAAAUUCUCUUUCGUAUUCAGCCACUGAUUUAUCUCCCUGGCGUAGGUCGAGAAAUUCCCUUUUAUUUUUAUCCAAAUACCGUCUGCCCACAUAUUUCUUCUUAAAUUCAUUUUGGAAAAAUUCCCAAUAAAUUUUCUCUGUCGGAACCACAUCCUCAAUCGUCUCCCACCAACUAUAAGCUUCUUCUUUCAAUAGAGACACAACACAUCUCAAAUAAUCAUCUGGUGAGCAAGCCAUUUCUUUAAAAAUUCUUAUUAAACUCUGUAACCAAUAUUCAGCUUUGACGGGAUCUUUAUCAGUCCUUCCCCGAAAUUCUUCGGCUCUAAGUUUUUUAAGCCUUUCCAAUGGAGAACGCUUUCUGGAUUCAGUCGUUGUAAAAGGUGGAGGAGCAACCGGGUGUACCACCGAUGGAGCAGUAGGGGGAGGAGGUGGUUCAGCCUGAUUUCUUUCUUGCCUCAUUUCAGUAUAUCAUUGAUUCAUAAUCCCAUAAAUCAUAUUCUUUAACUCUUGCUCUCGCAUUUGGGAGAUCGGAACAUCACUGCUUGUUCUUUGUUUAGAAUUAUGUAUUCUACUAUUAACUUCUUCUUUCUCAGUACGUUUAGGUAUAUCUAACAUCUCCAUAACCGGAGAAUAUCUACUAUUAACUUCUUCUUACUGGAUUCAGUCGUUGUAAGAGGUGGAGAAGCAACCGGGGGUACCACCGAUGGAGCAGUAGGCAGAGGAGGUGGUUCAGCCUGAUUUCUUUCUUGCCUCAUUUCAGUAUACCACUGAUUCAUAAUCCCAUAAAUCAUAUUCUUUAACUCUUGCUCCCGUAUUUGGGAGAUCAGAACACCACUGCUUGUUCUUUGUUCAGAAUUAUGUAUUCUACUAUUAACUUCUUCUUGCUCAGUACGUUCAAGUAUAUCUGACAUCUCUAUAACCGGAGAAUAUCUAUAAAAAUAACAAAGAUUAGAUCGCAUCAUACGCAUUACACUAUCACAGAUUUAUAUGGCAUGUAUUUCUAAACACUUUACACUUCACACAUAUUCCGAGAACCGGCUAAACCUGGAUCUGAUACCAAUAAAAUGUAACACCCUUUACCCGAGACCGUUUCCAGAGUCGAGCAUGAGGCGUUACUUGACUUAACUUAAAAGUUCAGGGCAUAAAAAAUUACUUUCAAAAUUAAUUUCACCAUUCACAAUAAAGUUGUCCACCCACGCAGCAAUCUCUAAAUUAAUUAUAACUCAAGAUGCGAAACUCGAAAUUUAGAUCUGUAUAUUUUACCUAAAACUAGACUCAUAUAUCUAUUCACUACAAAAUUUUCAGACUUUUUGGUUUGGCAAAUUAGUACAGUUUAUUAAUUGAAGUCUCCCCUGUUUCACUAAUAGACUAUCCUGACCUCUCGUCACUAAAAUUCAAUUAUCUCAUUAUACAAACUUGACUUGGUGUUUUCAAUUAUUUUUACUUAAAACAGACUCAUUAAGGAAUUUAAACAUAUAAUUUAUAACUCAUAAUUCAUUUUGUACAAUUUUUAAUGAAUUUCUAAAGUCAAAACAGGGGACUUCAAAAUCAUUCUGACUCUGUCUCACUAAAAUUCAAAUAUCUAAAAGUAUAUAACUCUUUUGCUUACUCUAUUGCUUUAAUGUGAAAGUAGGCUCAUUCAGCUUUAAUUUCAUCUCUCACUCAACUUAUAAUUCUAAGUCCACAUUUUUGGUGAUUUUUCAAUGUUACAUCAAUACUGCUGUCCAAAAACUGUUCCAUUGAAAUUUUUUUAAAAAAUUUCAAUAUAACCCUUUUAUAAUUAUCUAACCUUCCCUGCAAAUUUUAAAUCACAACCAAUUUCAGUAUUUCAACCACUUCACUUAAAUACUAAUGAAGUUCAACCAAUCAACCAUUUCAAACUAAAAACAUGCAUAGUUCAAUGUCUAACACAACCAUCACAUUCAAAUUUACUUUGCAUAUUUAGGUAUUCAUUCUUUUACUUUUUACUUCAAUUCCCUAUACAUGCCAUAUAAAUCCAAAAACUUGUUUAACAAAAUCUACCGGAGUAAAUCUUGAUAGUGUGAUUCUUGGUGUAGAUCCGAUCCUCUGAAUGUAUAAAUACGUCAAUCUACAAGAAUCAAUAAACGCACAAGUAGGCUUAAUAAACACACAAGUAAGCUUAUAGAAAGCUUAGUAAGUUCAUAGGCACCAAACAUAAAACUUACCAAACAUUUAUACACUUAUACAUUAUACACCAUUACUAAGUUUACCUGUCAACCACAUUCUUUGGUGAGUUCCUUGGUAUAAACUCACUAAUACUUAUUCUUUUACCAUAAUUCCUUUGGGCCCAUUUGUCACUUACCAUCCUUGAUCAAAAUUAAGGAACGGUUACGGAAAAUUGAGUACUUCACUUUCACUUUGCCAUAGUAUAACUAUGGUCUUACGUAUGAUCACUUAUCACUUGUCCUUGAUCAGGUUAGUGUAGCUAGGCUACCACUUAUCACUUGUUCCUGAUCAGAUAAGUGUAGCUAAGCUAUCACUUGUCACUUUGUCACUUGAUCAGAAGUACUCAAAUCCGGUGUUCCGCUCAAUUUGAUCAUUUAUUCAGUUUGCGCAUUUUUAUUUUAUUCUCAUUUCAUCAAUAAUAUAUAUAUAUAUAUAUAUAUAUAUAUAUAUAUAUUUCACCAUACAUUAUAUAAUUCAUGAAAUUAACAUUUAAUCAUUAAAUUUCAUCCAUAUGAACUUACCUAGGUCGAUUUUCUGAAUUUGUAAAAGUUCAAGGACUAAUCAGCUACUUUUUCUUUUCCUCGACUUGUUUCGGGUUCUCGAUAUGAUUCAAAUAUAUGAAAAACCAGCUUGGAGGGACUCUUCAAUGGCGUUUUUUGCUGAGAAAUAUGAUGAAUUGCCUAGAAACUCUUUUAGUUAAGAUUUUUAUUUGUUAACUUUUACAAAAUUUCUAAUUUUGCCCUUAUUACAUCACUUUUUCAGAUUUUUCUUCUCUUAUGCUGUCUCAACUAUUCCAUAUUAGCAUAUUUAUGCCUUAAGUCCCUCCUUAUUUACCACUUAAGCUGUUUAAUCACUUUUAACAAAUUUUACAUUAUUUUCAGUUUAGUCCUUUUUAAUUAAUUAACCACCCAAACGUUAGAAUUUUCUAACGAAACUUUAAUACCAAUUCAAUGACACUCUAUAAAUGUUUCUAAAAAUAUUUAUGGCUCGAUUGAUGAGUUUGAGGUUUCGAUACCUCAUUUUCGAUUCUAAUUAUUUUAAUAUUUAUUCUUAGUACACUAUUCACUAUUUCAAAAAUUUUCCUAACUUCGCAUUUAACUUAUACUUACUAAAUUAAUAAUAUUUUCUACUCAUUUGUCAAAUUUAAUGAUCUCGAAUUACCAUUCCGACACCACUGAAAAUUCAGGCCAUUACAACUCUCCCCCCAUUUUGGAAAUUUCGUCCCCGAAAUUUCGUACCUGAAAAUAAAUUCGAAUACUGAAAUCUCAUCAAUUCCUCUGUUUCCCAGGUUGCCUCCUCAGAUCCAUGUCGAUUCCAUAACACCUUAACUAGUGGUACAUGUUUAUUCCCUAACUCUUUAACAUCCCAAGCUAAAAUUUUCACCGGUUCCUCUGAAUAAGUCAUGUCAGGUUGAAGCUCUAUUUCCGUAUGAGGAAUUACAUGUGAUGGAUCUGAUUUGUACCGUCUCAACAUAGACACAUGAAACACAUUAUGAAUCUUUGCAAGUUCCGGGGGCAAAGCUAAUCUAUAUGUUACCGGACCGAUUCUUUCAAUGAUUUCAUACGGCCCGAUAAAUCGUGGGCUGAGUUUUCCUUUUUUGCUGAACCGCAAAACUUUCUUCCACGGUGACACUUUCAAAAAUACACGAUCACCCACAUUAUACUCUCUAUCCCUUCUCUUCAAAUCUGCAUAUGAUUUUUGCUGAUCGGAGGCAGCUUUUAAGCAAUCUCGAAUAAUACGAACUUUUUCUUCAGUUUCCUGAGUCAAUUCCACUUCCACCAGUUUCAAUUCACUUAAUUCAGACUAAUAUAAUGAAGUUCUACACUUUCUUCCAUACAAAGCUUCAAACGGUGCCAUUUUAAUGCUAGUUUGAUAACUAUUAUUAUAAGCAAAUUCGGCUAAAGGUAAAUACCUUUCCCAGCUACCGCCGAACUCAAGUAUACAACACCUUAACAUAUCUUCUAAAAUCUGAAUCACUCGCUCUGACUGCCCAUCUGUCUGGGGAUGAAAAGCUGUGUUGAAAUUUAAUUUGGUGCCUAAAGCUUCCUGUAAUUUACUCUAAAAUCUCGAGGUAAAUCUCGGAUCUCGAUCUGAAAUAGUAGAUGUCGGUACCCCAUGUAACCUCACUAUCUCAGACACAUAUAACUCCGCUAACUUUUCAAGCUGAUAAUCUGCUCUGACUGGAAUAAAAUAUGCUGAUUUAGUUAACCGAUCAACAAUCACCCAUAUCGAAUCUUUCUUCUUCGAAGUUACUGGUAAUCCGGAUACAAAAUCCAUCGCAACAUGUUCCUAUUUCCACUCUGGAAUCAUAAUGGGCUGUAACAACCCUGUCGGCACUUGAUGCUCAGCUUUCACCUGUUGACAGAUCAAACAUCUUGCUACAUACUCACAGAUUUCCCAUUUAAUUCCGGGCCACCAAUACAUUUUCUUCAAAUCACAAUACAUUUUUAUACUAACCCGGUGAAUAGAACACAUACUACUGUGAGCCUCUGAUAAAAUAUCAUUUUUCAAGUUUAAAUUAUUCGGAAUACAUAUUCUAUUACGAUAAUAUAACAUACCAUUUUCAUCAAUGGAGUAUUCUGAGCUUAACUUAUCUUGAACCAUCUGUCGUUUUAUCAUCAAUUUUGGGUCAUCAUCCUGUAACUCCUGAAUCCAUUGAAAGAACACGGGUUUAGCCUUUAAUUCUGCUAGUACAGAACCAUCCUCAUUAAUAGAUAAAUGAGCAUUCAAUGCCCGUAGUGCAAAUAAUGAUGAUUUCCGACUAAGUGCAUCUGCUGCGGCAUUUGCUUUCCCUGGGUGAUAGUCAAUGACAAGAUAAUAAUCUUUCUGCAACUCUAACCAUCGUCUCUAUCUCAAAUUUAACUCUUUCUGAGUCAUUAAAUACUUUAAGCUUUUAUGAUCAGUAUACACGUAACAUUUCUCACCAUAUAAGUAGUGUCUCCUUAUCUUCAAAGCAAACACGAUCGCUGCCAAUUCAAAAUCAUGUGUAGGAUAAUUCUUAUCGUGCGGUUUCAGUUGCCGAGAAGCAUAUGCCACCACUUUGCCUGACUGAAUAAGUACACAGCCCAACCCAUUUACAGAUGCAUCACUAUAUACUACAAAUGGUACACCCAAUUCUGGUUGAGUCAACAUUGGAGCCUCUGUCAACAUCUUUUUCAACUGAUCGAAACUCCGCUGACAUUUAUCUGACCAUAUAAAUUCAACAUUCUUUUGUAGCAAUCGAGUCAACUGUAAGGUAAUCAUUGAGAAAUCUUUGAUAAAUCGACAAUAAUAACAUACCAAUCGUAGAAAACUCCACACUUCAAUAACAUUCUUCGGAACUUUCCAAUUUACCAUUGCCGCUACCUUACUUGGAUCCACUCUUAUUCCAUGAGCUGAUACAAUAUGACCCAAAAAUGCAACUUCAUGGAGCCAAAAUUCUCAUUUGCUGAAUUUGGCAUACAAUUGUUUCUCUCGCAAAGUCUGUAAUACAAUCCUUAGAUGUUGUGCAUGUUCGGACUCUGUCUUUGAAUAAAUCAAUAUAUCGUCAAUGAACAACCACAAAUCUAUCCAAUUAUGACUGAAAAAUUCUAUUCAUCAAAUCCAUAAAAGCAGCAAGGGCAUUGGUUAAACCAAAUGGCAUCACCAAAAAUUCAUAAUGACCAUAUCGAGUUUGGAAGGCAGUUUUCGGCACAUCACACUCUUUAACUUUCAACUGAUAAUACCCAGAUUGAAGAUCUAUCUUGGAAAAUAUUGCAGCACCUUUCAACUGAUCAAACAAAUCAUCAAUAUGAGGCAAAGGAUAUUUAUUCUUUACUGUUACCUUAUUCAACUGCCUGUAAUCUAUACACAGUCUUAGAGAACCGUCCUUUUUUUUCACAAACAAGACAGGUGCACCCCAGGGCGACAUACUCGGUCUGAUGAAUCAUUUCUCUAAUAACUCCUGUAACUGCGCCUUCAACUCUUUUAACUCGGCUGGAGCCAUUCUAUACGGUGUCAUUGAGAUAGGAGUUGUUCCGGCGAUCACAUCAAUUACAAAUUCAACUUCUUUAUCAGGUGGUAGACCGGGUAACUCUUCAGGGAACACAUUAGGGAAUUCAUUCACUACUGGCACUUGUUUGAGCUUCAAAUCAGAACCCUGAGUAUCCAUGAUAUAGGCCAAGAAUGCUUCGUUGCCUUUGCGUAAUAACCUCUGAGCAGGGAGAGCUGAAAUAAUUCUGACUGUAUCACCCAUAUUUUCAGACCCAACUGAGAUUAUAUCUCCCGUUUGACAUUUCAAAUUGAUCUGUUUAUCACGACAAUUCACUACCGCAUCAUGUCUCACUAACCAGACCGUCCCAAGAAUAAUGUCAAAUUCUCGAAAAGGUAACAACAUCAAAUCAGCGGGGAAUUCAUAGCCUUUCACUUUUAAUGGACAAUUACGACAUAUCAAAUUAACCAUCACACUUUGACCUAAUGGGUUUGUGACUUGUAUAUCAAAUUCAGUGGACUUAACAGAUAAUUUCUUUUCAGAUGCUAACAUAGUGCAAAUAUAUGAAUGAGUAGAUCCAGGGUCUAUCAAUGCAUAAACAAUAACAUCAUAAAGAUAGAAAGUACCAACAAUUACAUCAGGAGCCGUAGCCUCUUCCCUUGCUCGAAUGGCAUAGGUACGUGCUGGUGCUCUAUUCUUUGAUCGACCAACUGAUUCCCUCGUACCCGAACGGGUAGUCCCUGUAGCACUGCUCUGGCCCGAAUGUCUACUUCUUUGGGGAAUGGUUCUCUGUAUCUCUUUCUGUUCCACUUCAUCUUUUUACAGUCGGGGACAAUCUCGAAUAAGAUGAUUAGUAGCCCCACAUUUUUAACAAGCCCCCAUCUUGGUCCUGCAUUCUCCGAAAUGAUAUCUUCCACAAUAUUGACACUUAGGCCGGGGAGCAUUCUGAACACCGCUCACACUUGCUGCAGGUCUAUCGAAUACCCUGAAAUCAGAUUGUCUUGGUCUAUCUCUACCCGAUCUUCCCAACAUUAAUGUAGUUCGACUAAUUUCUUCUCUAGAUUUCUUCACUGGCAAAUCUAAAAAUGACUUAGAAGCACCUCUUUUGAAUGGCUCUUUACUUUUUCGAUCCCGCUGCAUUUUUCUAUUGUAUACUUCUUCGAGCUUUUGAGCACGGUCUGACAGAACAACGAACUCUCGUAUUUCAUUACCCCCAAUCAUCAUUCUAAUUUCAUCAUUUAACCCUUCUUCAAACCUGAUACACAUUUCUUCUUUAGUAGGUACAAUGUCUCGGGCAUAUUUGCUGAGGUAAACAAAUUCACUUUCGUAUUCAGCCACUGAUUUAUUUCCCUGGCGUAGGUCGAGAAAUUCCCUUUUAUUUUUAUCCAAAUACCGUCUGCCCACAUAUUUCUUCUUAAAUUCAUUUUGGAAAAAUUCCCAAUAAAUUUUCUCUGCUGGAACCACAGCCUCAAUCGUCUCCCACCAACUAUAAGCUUGCUUCUUUCAAUAGGGACACAGCACAUCUCAAAUAAUCAUCUGGUGAGCAAGCCAUUUCUUUAAAAAUUCUUAUUAAACUCUGUAACCAAUAUUCAGCUUUGACGGGAUCUUCAUCAGUCCUUCCUGAAAUUCUUCGGCUCCAAGUUUUUUAAGCUUUUCCAAUAGAGAACGCUUACUAGAUUCAGUCGUUGUAGGAGGUGGAGGAGUAACCGGGGGUACCAUCGAUGGAGCAGUAGGGGGAGGAGGUGGUUCAGCCUGAUUUCUUUCCUGCCUCAUUUCAAUAUACCACUGAUUCAUAAUCUCAUAAAUCAUAUUCUUUAAUUCUUGCUCUUGCAUUUGGGAGAUCGGAACAUCACUGCUUGUUCUUUGUUCAGAAUUAUGUAUUCUACUAUUAACUUCUUCUUACUUAGUUCGUUCAGGUAUAUCUGACAUCUUUAUAACUGGAGAAUAUAUAUGAAAAUAACAAAGAUUAGAUCGGAUCAUACGCAUCACACUAUCACAGAUUUAUAUGGCAUGUAUUUCUAAACACUUUACACUUCACACAUAUUCCGAGAACCGGCUAAACCGGGAUCUGAUACCAAUAAAAUAUAACACCCUUUACCCAAGACCGUUGCCCGAGUCGAGCAUGAGGCGUUACUUGACUUAACUUAAAAGUUCAGGGCAUAAAAAUUUACUUUCAAAAUUAAUUUCACCAUUCACAAUAAAGCUGUCCACCUGCGCAGGAGUCACUAAAUCAAUUAUAACUCAAGCUACGAAACUCAAAAUUUAGAUCCGUAAAUUUUCCCUAAAACUAGACUCAUAUAAAUAUUCACCAUAAAUUUUUAAGAAUUUUUGGUUUAUCCAAUUAGUAUAGUUUAUUAGUUUAAGUCUCCCUUGUUUCACUAAUAGACUACCCUGACCUCUCGUCACUAAAAUUCAAUUAUCUCCUUAUACAGACUUGACAUGGUGCUUCCAAUUAUUUUUACUUAAAAUAUACUCAUUAAGGAAUUUAAAAAUAUAAUUUAUAACUCAUAAUUACUUUUUUACAAUUUUUAUUGAAUUUCUAAAGUCAGAACAGAGGACUUCAAAAUCAUUCUGACCCUGUCUCACUAAAAUUCAAAUAUCUAAAAGUAUAUAACUCUUUUGCUUACUCUAUUGCUUUCAUGUGAAAGUAUACUCAUUCAGAUUUAAUUUCAUAUCUCACUUAACUUAUAAUUCUAUUUCCACUAUUUUUGGUGAUUUUUCACAGUUACAUCAAUGCUGCUGUCCAAAAACUGGUCCAUUGAAAUUUUUUAAAAAAAUUCAAUAUAACCCCUUUAUAAUUAUCUAACCUUCCCUGCAAAUUUCAAAUCACAACCAAUUUCAGUAUUUCACCUACUUCACUUAAAUACUAAUGAAGUUCAACCAAUCAACCAUUUCAAACUAAAAACAUGUAUAGUUCAAUGUCUAACACAACCAUCACAUUCAAAUUUACUUUGCAUACUUAGUCAUUCAUUCUAUUACUUUUUACUUCAAUUCCCUAUACAUGCCAUAUAAAUCCAAAAAGUUGUUUAACAAAAUCUACCAGAGUAAAUCUAGAUAGUGUGAUUCUUGGUGUAGAUCCGAUCCUCUGAAUGUAUAAAUACGUCAAUCUACAAGAAUCAAUAAACACACAAUUAAGCUUAUAGAAAGCUUAGUAAGUUCAUAAGCACCAAACAUAAAUCUUACCAAACAUUUAUACACUUAUACAUUAUACACCAUUACUAAGUUUACCUGUCAACCACAAUCUUUGGUGAGUUCCUUGUUAUAAACUCACUACUACUUAUUCUUUUACCAUAAUUCCUUUGGGCCCAUUUGUCACUUACCAUCCUUGAUCAAAAUUAAGGAACGGUUACGGAAAAUUGAGUACUUCACUUUCACUUUGCCAUAGUAUAACUAUGGUCUUACGUAUGAUCACUUAUCACUUGUCCUUGAUAAGAUAAGUGUAGCUAGGCUACCACUUAUCACUUUGUCACUUGAUCAGAUAAGUGUAGCUAAAGCUACCACUUAUCACUUUAUCACCACUUAUCACUUGUUCCUGAUCAGAUAAGUGUAGCUAAAACUACCACUUAUCACUUUGUCACCACUUAUCACUUGUUCCUGAUCAGAUAAGUGUAGCUAAAGCUACCACUUAUCACUUUGUCACUUGAUCAGAUAAGUGUAGCUAAGCUAUCACUUAUCACUUUGUCACUUGAUCAGAAGUACUCUAAUCCGGUGUUCCGCUCAAUUUGAUCAUUUAUUCAGUUUUCACAUUUUUAUUUUAUUCUCAUUUCAUCAAUAAAUAUAUAUAUUUCAUCAUACAUUAUAUAAUUCAUGAAAUUAACAUUUAAUCAUUAAAUUUCAGCCAUAUGAACUUACCUGGGUCGAUUUAUUGAAUUUGUAAAAGUUCAGGGACUAAUCAGCUACUUUUUCUUUUCCUCGACUUGUUUCGGGUUCUCAAUAUGAUUCAAAUAUAUGAAAAACCAGCUUGGAUGGACUCUUCAAUGGCGUUUUUUGCUGAGAAAUAUGAUGAAUUGCCUAGAAACUCUUUUAGUUAAGAUUUUUAUUUGUUAACUUUUACAAAAUUUCCAAUUUUGCCCUUAUUACAUCACUUUUUCAGAUUUUUCUUCUCUUAUGCCGUCUCAACUAUUCCAUAUUAGCAUAUUUAUGCCUUAAGUCCCUCCUUAUUUGCCACUUAAGCUGUUUAAUCACUUUUAACAAAUUUUACAUUAUUUUCAGUUUAGUCCUUUUUAAUUAAUUAACCACCCAAACGUUAGAAUUUUCUAACGAAACUUUAAUAUCAAUUCAAUGGCACUCUAUAAAUGUUUCUAAAAAUAUUUAUGGCUUGAUUGAUGAGUUUGAGGUUUCGAUACCUCAUUUUUUAUUCUAAUUAUUUUAAUAUUUAUUCUUAGUACACUAUUCACUAUUUCAAAAAUUUUCCUAACUUCGCAUUUAACUUAUACUCACUAAAUUAAUAAUAUUUUCUACUCAUUUGUCAGAUUUAGUGAUCUAGAAUUACCAUUCCGACACCACUGAAAAUUCAGGCCAUUACAUUAUGUUUAUUGACUCAUUUUUUCUGUUGACUGAAUUUCAGGUAACUCAUCGACUUAGGCGGGUCGGCAUGGCGAGAGCUCGGUCAUCCUUAUUUAGUAAUUUUCUGUUUAAAUUAAACUUAUGCUAUAGUUGUUUUAUCUUGAAUUACAGAUUUCAAAUUUAUAUUUCUACACUAGUUCAACUAUUUAAACAUUUUCUGACAAUUAAACUUUAAUUAGUUAAAAGUGAGAAUUUCUUAAAUGAUUUGUUGUAGCUUUCCAAGCUUGGUCCUAACAUCUAGGUCGGGUUUGGGGUGUUACAACCCAAAACCCCCAAACUUUCCCCUCAAAACUUUUACUCCCCCACCCUUUCUCUUUCUCGCUCACCCUCCCAAACCCUUCUACUUUUCCCCCAAAACUUUUACUUCCCACUUUUACCCCCAAAUCAAAAAUCAAAAUCCUCCCAAAAAAAUCCUUAAACCUAAAUAGUAAUAAUUUUAUUUAUGGCUACUAUUUAUAUUAUAAAUUAAAUUUCACAUUUUCUAUUAUUUAUAUUAUUAAAUUGUUUAAUCAUUUUGAAUCUUUAUCAAUUUCUGUUAAAACUGUAUCAUUGAUGAUGUCAUACAUUAUUUGUGUUAAAAAUUUCUAUUGGUAUCAAUUUCACAUUUUAUCUUUAAAAUAAAUUUUAUUAAAAAAAUUACUUUUUUACAUUUAAUAUAUUUUUUAAUUUCAAAAUAUAUGGUGACAAGAAUUAGAAGAUAAUUGAAGCAACUAAGCAAGUAAAAAAGCUAACAUGUAUAUAAAAGAUUAAAUAAAUUAUGAAGGGAUGAAAGUUAAUAACACAUUUGAUUACGGUGGACAAAUUUGAUAAUGAUGGGUGACAGUGGCUACAAGGAUCCAAAGUAAUUUUUUCAAUUAACUGGAAACAAAUAUAUUCGAUUCGAUUCGAUAAAAUUUGAAAUCAUUUUAGGAUGAUAAAAUAAGACUCGUCAACUCGAUUAACUCGAAGUUUUUUCAUUUGAUUCGAUUAGACGCUCACCCCUACAAAGUAUGACCGAUUGGUCUGAUUCUGAAAAAAAUUGGUUUUGAUCAAUGAAAGAACUUUUACGAUGGCGACAGGUCUAACAAACAGGUGAUAUUUUGAAAAGAAAAUUAAUCUCCAUAGUCUCAACCUUAGGAGGGUGAAUUUUGAGCAUUGCAUUUGUUGUCAUUGUUAGACAUUAUAAAGGAAGAAAAAAGAAAGAAAAAAGUUAAAAUGAGGGAAAUUAUUGAAAAAAAGAGAGAAGAGAAUAAUUAAUUUUUUUAAAAUUUUACAUGUCAAUCUAUUAUUGAUUAGAUUUUUUUAAUGAGUGUAACAUUUUGGUGUUAAAUGGAUAAUAAAAAAAUAUUUUAAGUAUCAUUUAUGAUAAAAAAUAUUUAGGUAUCAAUUUGAAAAAAAUAUGUAGCUUAGAUACUAAUUGAUGGGUUAAUUUUUUUAGCUUAAUAAUUUGAUUAAACCGAAAUACCAACUGAAAAAAAGUUUACUCGCCGCUUAUGAAAAAAAAUAAGUAUGAAUUUGUAAGUUAAAUCUCCCUAAAAGAAAAAAUAUAUCACAUUCAAUACGGGGUGAAUGAAGCAAUGAAUGCAAUGGGGUAUUACAACCAGCCACAUGUCAUUCAAUUCAUGUUAUAUCUACCUUGUUGGCCCCACAGGCGGUCUUUUCCAUUAUUUUCGAAGUGAACGACAUGAGUCGGACCUAUAUCGGCCCCAACAAACAACCUCAACCACUUGUUUUGUUAGGUUGUUGACUAAUUUGAAUAUGUCGGCUCAAAGCUUUUUGAAAAUUAAAUUAUUUUUUAUAUUAAUAUCAUAUAGGUAUAAAAAUUUAACGUUUUGUAAAAAAAAUAAAUUUAGUGUUAAAUUUAAAUAAUUAUAAAAAAUUAUACAAAAUACAAAGACAACUUAGAGUCAAUAAAAAAAAUAUGGAAAAUCAAUUCAUACAUUAAAUGGCAUAAAAAUAUUAUGAACACUAUACAAAUAUAUGAAUGUUUUUAUAUCUAUUUAAAAUAAGUUAUUAACGCUUAAACUUCAACCAAUUAAAUAUUAAUUUAACUAUAAACUAUAAAAAAUUAAAAUUUCAUUUGCCCUAAACAAUUAUUCUAAUUUCGCCCCUGUAUAAAAUAGUUCUAAUAUUAAAAAAAAAGUUAUACGAAUAUGGAGUGUUAAAAAAAAAGGCUUUCAACUUUUAAUAUUCCAAACAAAUAAAAGAAAUAAUAAUAACAGUUUACAAGUGCAAUAAAAGUAAUACAUAUUUGAUGAAUUAAAAAUAGAAUAAAUAUAACUAACUAUAACAGAAAUAUAUUUAGAUUUAAACCAAAUUUUUUUGAAGAUGAAAUUUGAACUCACAAAUAAUAUUUAUAAAUGAUGAGCCUAAUGAUGAUAUGUUUUAGAACAUGUAUAUUUUAAUUUCAUUUGAUAUUUAAAUUAAUGAAUGAAAUGAGUAUAUUAGCAUAAAUAUAUUGAAUUUCUAGAUUUAUUAAAAAUCCAACUAAAUAGAGUAGAUCCAUAAAUUUAAAAAAUGAUUAUGGAUUUUGAAAUAUAAAUCUAAAAUUUAAAAUCUGAAACCCUCCUAAAUGUUUUCCAAAGUAAGGCGGGGAUAAAUGGUAUAGGGAAGACGGUGGGUAGAUAGAUGUACGGUUUAUUUAUAACUUCGUUUUUAUUAGUCGGCUUACAGUUUCAUAAAAAGCAUCCGUGCAAGGCAUGUUCAAAUGCUGCACUAGCAUACCACUACUAUAAAAAAAACACAUACAAGAGCACCACAAAUUUAUCCCAAAAUACAUUAAAUAAAUGACUCCUAAGGGUGCCAGAUUUAACUAGUGUGUCUGGGAUUGUAUUAGCCUCUCUGAGGCCAUGUGAAAAAAUUUAAUGUUAUUGUUAUAUUUCCAUCUCGAUACGUUGCAAGACAUGAAGCAAUCUGUAAACAACUCUCUUUUGGAAGCAGUUUGCAUACGACUCUUCGCUAAGAACCAUUUGUUGUGAUCUUUCGCUUAGGAUUGCUCACAAAUGACCCCCAUGCACCCUAUCUCUCUCCCUCCUUAACUCAUCAUCUUGAACUCUCAUCCUAUCAUAGGUGAAUCGAGACUCUUCUCCUCCACCCUUUCCUCGUUGGUUACUUGUAGCAAAAAAAAUUAAUUUCACCGAAAAUGUUGGAGAGAUCCCAUGGUCUAAGUGUGUUGUUAGAGCAAAGCUCGAUGGCAAAUUUGGAGUCAAAUUUUAGAAUAAACCCUUUAAAAUCCAUUACACCGUAAAGGAAAAUUUUUACAAUUACAUUAACAAUAAAUAUUCAAAAUUUACUCAUCUAUCUAUACUUAUAUUAAGCCUUAUUUGAGUUGGAGUCAAGAGUCAACUAGGUACUAACUCAGUUGAGAAUUUACUAAAUAAUUUUAAUAUAAAGUAAAAAAAAUAUUAAUACGAGGGUGUUUUUAUCUUUUCAUAUUUUUAAAUAAAAAAAUACUAUAAUAAGAUUUAAACUUAAGUUUAAAAUUUCAAUCAAAACAUCACUUAAAUUUAAAAUAACAUUUUUAUAUAAAAUGUGUUUAGAUUCUAAGAUAAUGAAAUUUAUGAUGAGGUAUUCAAAAUGUGUUUGAAUAUGCUAAUGAGAUAUUCAAAUUGGUAUGCACAUUCCUAAUCAGGGAGCAUUAAUGAUAAUUUAGUAAAAUAAAUUAUCUCAUUAGCAUAUAGUUUAUUAUAAAAUUAUUGUGUAAAAUAAACAAUUCACAAACUUAAGAAUUUAUAACACAAAAAUUAUACAUCAAUGUUGUUAGAAUUGUAUUAUAUCCAUCGGUUGAAUUUAAAUUUAAAAAUUUAAUCAGCGAUAAUAAUUAAAAUCGUUUCAAACUAGUAAAAUAUUGAAAAUUAAGAACUAAUAAAAUAGAUUCUAAUUAUUUUUAUUUAAAAAAUGUUACCUUCUUAUUCAGGUUACAUUAAGACAAACCCAUCUUAAUUGUAAGUAUCAUAUUGUGAAUGGUAAACUUCUUACACAACAUCCACCAUUUGUCCAAAUAUGUUAAAUUAGGUGCAACAUAGAAAUUUUAUUGUAAGGAGUGAAUCUCAUUGUUUUUAUUUUCAUCAAACAUACGUCUAACUUUAUUAUUACGGGAUUAGAACUUAAAUUUGAUAAAUUGUGGUGAUUUCUUUUCGUUAAAUUUACCUAAAUCAACCUAACACUCGAAAAGUGAGAAUUCUCCUAAAAAUUCUUUAUGUUAGCAAAAAAUAUAGUGGAAGUAACUUGAAACGAAAGAGCAAUGAGAGAAUUGAAAAGACACAAGAAAAUAAUGCAUACAAGGUGUUUGAGUAAAUGCUCUCAAUAAAUUCUUUAACUCAAGAAGGAAUGAAGUACAACCAGUAUCUAGCCCCCCUAAAAUAGAAAAUUUUCCAUUUAUAUACCUUUAUAAUUUAUAAAAUUUAAAAUUUUACUUUCCCAUAAAAUGAUAAAAAAUUGAUUUAUUUCUUUAAAAAUUAUAAAGAUGACUAUUAAAAUAGUAAAAUUGUAUUUUUAUUAUUGUAAAAAUAUACAAUUUAAUUCUGUCUCCCAAAUUUUUUUUUUGGUUUCAUCCCUAAGUACAAUGAUCAUUGUAGCAGGAUACACAGGCAUUGUAGCAGGAUACAUAGGCAUUCUAGCACAGAAUGCAAAUAUGUUGCAAAUUAACUUCGAGUCAUGGCAUAAAGUGCCCGAGAGUAACAAGAACCAAGCUCUCGAUAACAUUAAGGUAACAAAAUGUGUAUAUCAUUUAUAAUACUUGAGUUUAAGUUUCGUUUACAUUUACUUUCUGAAGUUGUGUUUUUUGUAGGGGAGAUUUGCUCUAGAGGUCUCCGAUGCUUAUGUAAAGAAGGCAUUGGGAAAAAGAUGGAGAGACCAUAAGAGCACUUUAAAGAAAGACUAUUUUAAGACAAAAACAACACUCGACGAGAGAUUACAAAAUGUCACGCCGGGAAUGCUGAGGUACCAGUGGGAAGAAGUCGUUAGAUUUUGGACUUCGAAGAAAGGAGAGGUAUGUGUUACUACAAAAAUCUUGUAAUUAUUUUGGUUUAUAGUAUUUACUAAUUAACGUACUAAUAAUUUCAUAACGUAGGAUCGUGAACGAGUUGGAACAAGUAGUAGGCAGAAACAAAAAUUCACGCACACAGCUGGGUCGAGAAGUUUUGCGUGUGUAGCUCAGGCCGAGGUAUUUUGAAUUUUUUAAUACUGGCAGAUAUUUAUUACUUUCUAUCAAAUAAUAUUUUUACUAUUGUAUUGUAGGAAGUGUUGUCGGGUCAAAAAGUUGGACGCCUUCAACUUUUUGACAUUACACAUAGGAAGAAAGAUGGAAACCCUAUGACUCCUGAAGCUGCAGAAAUUAUGGUACGUUUGCUUAAUACAAUUUGACUUGUUUUAAUUAUUUAUACUGUUUAUUUUCUAAUGGUUUUUAUUACAUUUCUUAUAAUGCAAAUAUUGUUAAGUUAUGUUGCAUUUGUUUUGUUAAUAUAUGUUGCGUUCUUAACUAUGUGAUUUAUUUUUUAGGAAAAACUGAAGGAUAAAAAGGCGAAGUACGAAGCGAUUGCUUCCAGUGAUAGUUCUGUUCAUAUUUACGACAUUGAUAAUCGGAUUAUCAUUGAAGUUUUGGGUCCUGAAAGGUAUGAUCGGGUUCGAUUUCAAGGAUCUUUUGUUAACCCAUCCCAAUAUUUUGGAUCCAGCUCGCAACAAUACAUGCAUUCGGGGAGUCAGGCUCAAGCUGAAGUUAGAGGUUAAGAGACCAGAUAGCUUAGAUGCAAGCGGCAACGAGUGAGCAAAUUACACAACUUAAAGCGGAGGCAACAUCGAGAGAAGCCAAGGUUCAAAAAAGAUAUGAAGAACUCCAGCUACAACUUAAAGCAGAUGCGGCAGCGAGAGAAGCAGAGGCAGCAGCGAGAGAAGCUGAGGUUCAACGAAAGUAUGAGCAACUGCAGUAGCAGCUUAAAGAAGAUGCGGCAACGAGAGAAGCAGCGGCUGCAGCGAGGGAAGUAGAGGCUGCAGCGAGGGAAUCAGAACAGCAUAAAAAGUUCGAUGAACUCCAGCAGCAGCUUCAGAAUAUGAUGAAGAUGUUUCAGCAGUCGCAACCGCCGUCAUCUUAGACUAUCGUUUAAAUAUACUUCAAUUUUGACUUUGGUAUUAUUAUUUUAACUUUUACAAUUUCUGUCAGAAUAAUACGAAUUUUAUUUUAUUUAUUGACAUUUAUUUUAAAUAUUAUAUAGAUUUGGUUAGAUUUGGUUGGUUGGAUUUGGUUUCUUCUGAUUUGUUUUUAUAGGAGGGGGGCUGAAAAUUUUUUUUUCAAAUCUGCCAAAAUUAGCGGCGUUUUUUUGGAUAAGCGCCGCUAAAGACCAUCGUCUAUAGUGGCGUUUUUUGGCUAAGCGCCGCUAAAGACCAUGGUCUAUAGUGGCGUUUUUCGGCUAAGCACCGCUAAAGACCAUGGUCUAUAGUGGCGUUUUUUGUCUAAGCGCCGCUAAAGACCAUGGUGUAUAGUGGCAUUUUAUGGCUAAGCGCCGCUAAAGACCAUGGUGUAUAGUGGCGUUUUUUGGCUAAGCGCCGCUAAAGACCAUGGUCUAUAGUGGCGUUUUUUGUCUAAGCCCCGCUGAAAACCAUGGUCUAUAGUGGCGUUUUUUGGCUAAGCGUCGCUAAAGACCAUGGUCUAUAGUGGCGUUUUGUGGCUAAGCGCCGCUAAAGACCAUGAUCUAUAGUGGCAUUUUUCGGCUAAGCGCCGCUAAAGACCAUGGUCUAUAGUGGCGUUUUUUAGGCUAAGCGCUGCUAAAGACCAUGGUCUAUAGCGGCGUUGCAAAGAAAACGCCGCGAAAGGUCUUGAUCUUUAGCGGCGUUUAUUAUAAAAAGCGCCGCUAAAGUUACCGACACUGUCAUUAGCGGCGAUCUUUGCGGCGCUUCGUAAAGCGCCGCUAAAAGUAUUUGCGGCGCUAAAAAACGCCGCUAUAGACCUAAAAAAGCGCCGCUAAAACCCUGUUUUGGUGUAGUGUGAGAUGAUUACAAAUGAAGGGGGAGAUCUCUAUUUAUAGUUGAGCUCCCCUAGAUCCAAUAGUAUAGAUUGAAUUACAUCAACGAUUGAGAUUAGUACUUAUCUACAAGAUGAGUCUUAAGGGUUUUAAACUCUAUACAUCUUUAUCCCUUAGGAUUUACAUUAAUUACUCUGGUAACUCUAGUUUUACUGGAGAGUUUCACUGAACCACCAAAGGUUUAAGUAGAUGAGCUUCUCCAUAUGUUCCACGAGUUGGACAAGUUCAAGCGGAUCAAAUGAGCCCAAUUUAAUUAGUUAAUCUCAAUAAAACGUUCUAUGCGCAAUGAUCAUGAACUUUGAUCUACAUCUCAAAAUGAUCAGAUGAAUAAUCUCUCUUAAUUAUAUUUUUAUAAAACUUGAUAUUUUCAUUUAAAAAGAAACACAAUCACAUAUAAUAAUGUCUCCAAAAGAGUCGUCCACUUCAAAGAUUUAAAGUAAUGUAAGAAUGAACCCAACAUUUUUCAAUUAAAAAUAUGUCGAUAGAUAUAGCAAGUUGUAUAACCUUUCAAUUACAAAACAGAUUUCAAUGGGGAUUGCAUCCGGUACAUGCAACUAAAGAACAGAACCGGUGCAUAAAUUGAUUUAAUUAAACUUUGGGUUGAGUAAUCAUGAUUUUCAUUAUUAUUAGACUACGUGAAUGUUGAUAUAAAAUGCUUGAGAGAAGGGUAUAGAAGAAACACAAAAUAAUGAGUGAUAUUAAUUUGUAGAUAAAGAUAAUAUUACAUAGUCGCAAAAAGCGACCUAGUACACAACGCACAACUCUAAAUUAGGAUAACUCCUCUGCUAUCCCUAUGGAUGGAUUUUAACAUCCAUAUUUAUUCUGUAGCUAUCGUUAUUUUGGCUUCCACUAGCUGGUGAACUUUCCAUGCCAAAACUUCACUUAACCCUGCAAAUGAAACAACAAAAAACACAACAUUAAAUGUUGAGCAAUUAAUAAGCAUAAGCAAUGAAACAACUCAUACGAACCUGCUGCAGUCAGUGCUAGGGCUGAUCUUGUAAGGGAUGUUGACACCGCACUUGCCUGGGAGUCCGCUUGCAAUACCAUAGUUGAUGCCAGGAAUGCCGGCGGCCGCACUUUUGAUGCAUUUGCAAGCUGCUUGCCGGUCUGGUGUUGUUUGGGCGGCGGAGUUGAGAGAUUUGAUGCCGCUGCAGCAACCUUGGGGAACGGCACCAGCACCAUUCCCUCUCAAGUAAUUAAUGCAGGGUGCGAGGGAGCCUGUGACUUGACCACAGGUUACGGUCCCUUGAGCCAGGGGUGCACCCACCACCAUGCACAACACCACCACACAUGCAAGCUUAAGGGACAUUGAGCUAGCCAUAUCGAUUAAUUACAAGAAAAACAAACUUGUAAGGAAAAUGCUUGCUUGGAGUAGUAGUAGUAUUGCUGAUUGUUGCGUGGUUAGGGCCCGAGGGUAGGAGGGUUUUUAUAGCCAAAAGUUUUGUGAAGGGAUAUGGAACGAACUGAGAAACACGUACGAAUAGAAUAUGGUUAGGCGUUGGUAGUUGUCCCAAUUCAAUGCCAAGGUUUCUUUUUUUCUUUUUCAUGUUUCAGCUUAUGGUUGAGUGUGUUUAAUGCUUUGAAAAAGGUUUGUAUCUACCACUUUCAUCUUCAUCACUAAUGCUGAAUUACUCCGUUGAUUAAUGCAUCAUAUUAGCCUUGUCCUAGUGUUACCGGUUUUCUGAUAUUAGUAGCUUUACCAAUAAAAGAUGCUAUCAAAUAUAGUUUUCAGGAUGAUAUUAAAAAUUAAGGUUUUUUAGUUACAAAUAAAAUUGUCACAUUAUCAAAUUUUAAAGAUAUGAAAUUAUUAUUAUAAACUCAUCUAUAGAGAAAUUAUUUUAUGAGCCCUUUCCACCACAUUAUUCACAGUCCAUUUUCAAUUAUUUAAUAAUAUUUCAACAAUAUUUUCCAUGUCAUUGACACAUAAUUUUAAUAAUUUUUUUACCCUGAACCUUGAGUCUAGAAUCCCAAACCCUAAAUAAAAAACUUAAAACCCCAAACUAUAACCCCAAACACUUGCAUCAUAAACUCGAACCGCGAACCUCAAACUCAUAAUCUGUAACCUUGAACCCAAACUUGUAAUCUCGAACCCUUGAACCCUGAACCUAAACCUUGAACCCUGAACUCAAAGCCCAAAACCAAAACUGAACCCUGAACCUUAAAUCUCAAACCCAAACCUUAAACCUCGAGGUUUGGGUUCAAGGUUCAAGGUUCAGGGUUUGAGUUCAAGGUUCGAGGUUUAGGAUAAAAUAAUUACCAAAAUUUGUAACAGAAUAAAAGAGUUCGUUUAUAAUUUAAAAAGCAAUUAUUUUAAGUAAUUUAAUUAAAGUGAAAUUAAGUUGGAGAAAAUAUUAGAUAUAGAUGAGUGUAUAAUAAUACUUUAUUGUCUUUAAAAUUUAAUGACGUGGUACUAUUUUAUUGGUGCCUCAAACUAUACUUUUUAGAAUAAUCCUAAUACAAUUUAUUCCCAUAUUAAAUACGUAUGCUUUCUAUAUUUUUUCGAAAAAAUAAAUUUUAUUCAUAAACUUUCUAUAUAUAAAUAUAUGUUUUAUUUAAAAUUUAUAAAUACAGAAAAAUUAAAAUAUAAAUAUAUGUCAAAGUAGCUAUUAAGUGUAGAAUUAAACAAUUAUAACAUAUAAAUAGAUUAAAAAUUAGGACAAAAAAUCAAUCUAUUACAUAAAAUAUAAAUUAUGAAUGAAAACAAUCUAAAUUAUAGUCUGGCUAAUCAAACUAAAACUUACAUAUAACCAUAUGACUUUAAGGGUCUUGAAUAUGGUUACUUAAAAGCUUAUAGUUCAGCUUUUACCCACUACGUCAAGGCUUCAUUUACGUUUUUUUUAACCAUAUAUUUUUCAUAUAAUUAUAUAUAUAUAUUUUGCAUAAAAAAUCCCCAAGACGUUAAUUACUUCUAUAUAAUGUAGCGAUUAAGUCCUCAAACAAAAAUUGCUCAACAUCAAUGCAUGUAUAGAUCAAUUUUAUAUAUCAAAGACCAAUACUAUCUUUUUCUUAAAAAAAAAAAAAACCAAUAUGUUGUGAUUGCUUAGCUAUUGUUCCUAAGUCUUCCUGAAAAAGGUUUCACAGUCUUCCUGAAAAAGGUUUCACAGCGAGAGGAGAAAAAAAAAAGUUGAACUUGUCUUGGUUUGCCCCAUAAUGAUUGAAGCAUAGACAAGAUUAUAAAUGUUAAUUUAGUAUACGACAUAAUAAUAUAAUAUAAUAUAUUUAAAUGUAUAUCUCCUCACCUCCUAGACGCUGUCAGUUAUUUUAUUUUUUGGGAUUUUUUUAACAAAAGGUUGAGCUUUUUAUUAGGUUUUAUUUGAUUUUUCAUUUAUUAAAUAUAAUUUUUUUAUUUUUAUAUUUUUUAGUUAUUAUUAAUUUUUGUUGAAAAUUUGUACGGUCUUGUUCUAACAACAAUUAGAACAAGCUUUUUGGAACAAUCAAAAGUUUUGGGUGUAGGCAUGUUUGACUUUUAAUGGCUUAUGUUUUAAUAUUAGUUAACAAAAAGUGAUAAGAGAAUUUCAUGAUAAAUUAGAAUAUGGUUAUCAUCCAUUUGAUUAGUCUUGAUGAGGAAGGAGAGGAGUUUGAACUUUGGUGGACACCCAUCCUUAUCCUUGUCUUUUAGAGUGUUUGAAGCUAUUGGAGAACUUGGUUUUAAAGAUUUUAUUUGAUAAAUAUUCAAAAUAAUUAAUUUGAUAAUUUCAACUUUUAAAGGAGAGUUUAAAACUUAUCAAAACAUUAUUUGAUAAACACUUGUAGAGGCGUAUAAAUAGGCAACAGUGUGGUGUAACUUUGUUUGUUGUUUUGGAGUGUCUUAAACUUUUAUUUUUUUGCUAUUCCAUUGGGUAACUUUAUGACACUCUCUUUUUAGGUAUUAUUUGGAGAUGUUUAGUAAUUGUAUUGUGAGGAAUUUGAGUGAGUGAUUGCAUUGAAGAAAUGCGACCUAAAUGUAUAUGUUAAACUCUUAUCUAGGACAUAAAUUCCAUGAACAAGGUACCCAUGUUAAUAACAUGUCACCACUUCGCAUCUUUAUGGUAUUGACCCUAUGUAGUUAGACCCUAUAUGACGUAAACAACACUUAUAGUGUGCACGAUAUCGUAGGCUUGAACGUUGAUUGAAUGCAACCUAUAUUUUGGUGCCUUUGUCGGAAAUGAUGUAUGCAUCGGGUUGCGGUACAAAUGCCUUCUCAGGUUAGUUAAGAAGAAAUCCCAUUCAUCAUUGGAUUCUUCAGGAGUUAUUACAAAAGCUAUUGGCAGGAUUUUUAGGUUACCAUCUUAUGCAACAACUACUAACAACCGAUGGUCGCAUAUUCUAUACAGGAAUGUGCCGUUAAUUUGGAAAAGUGGCUUACAGUACCAAAAUGUAGUUCUGCAUUGCUUAAAAGUCCAAAAGCAACGGUGGAAAACUCCUUUUCCAGGGACCAAGCAAUCGUCAUAAUACGCAGGCUCCAUUUUUAACUUGGUUACAGAACCUAGUAUGUACCACUCUAGUAUCUAACACCAUUGCCACAAUUUAUAGUAGGAUUUCUCCCACCCUCUAUUCAUUUUCUCCAAUGCCUUCUAUUUUUGCAACUAUGUCUUGUGCUAGGACAUGGUGUAAUCGGAUUCUCUACAGAUGUGUGCGAUCAAAAUUGGGACCAGAAUCCUAGGACUUGCUUUUGCCAUGGGUAAUAGAAUUUUAGAUAUCAUGUCUAAAUCUAAUUUUGGAUGAUCAUUCGAUAUGCUUGAAAAACAAGAAAUCGAGUCACUAUGUGUAAUAGAAUGUAAAAAAAGGCUAGGAUUCGAGUCGAUGUUGUUAGCCAUAUUACAUACCAGCUACAACACAUGUAUGUGGCACGAUAAAUUUCCUACGUUUAAAAUGCCAACUUCUUCGUCAUAAAUGCCAUGAUUUUCCAUAGACAUCUUGUUGCACGCAUUGUGCGCAUCGCCUUAUAUUUCUCGGAUUGAGAGCAUGUAAUAGUGAAGUUGACACCAAAUUGUAUGCUAUACUACUUGAUUGUAGCUACAAAAGCAUAUUUGGAGUCAAACUCCAUCCCAACCUCUAAGUGGUCGAAAUUUGUUGAUGAAGUCGCAUACCUUAGUCUUCUACGGGGGAGGUCUGGGAAUUCUAAAACCACUUUCACUAGUAAGACUGAGAGUACGCAUAUGGGGUGGGGGUUUGUAUUUCGUGAAACUUAGGUCAUCCCCUCGAGCGAUGUCUAAAGCUUGACCAUUAGAUCCAUCGUCUUCUAGUUCAGUAGGAAUGGGAUCUAGUUCUAAAAUUACUACAAUUUCGCACCAUCCAGUCCAACCACCUCUCCUGGGUCAUUAUCUGAUUUAGACCCCUCUUUGACCACUUUGUUCUCUUGUCCCUCUUUGUUAUCAACCCUGGUUGUAAGUCCAGGGUUGGAUGUACCCUCUCCGGUCGAAGUUGUCAAGAGUAGAUCAUUCAUUCUUGUAAAUCCGAUGUCAAUCCCAAAACCAAUUCUGUUUGGCCUACCCAGUAACUUGAUGGUGUACCAUAUGAGUGUUAUCGAGGUUGAACAUAGGUGUGUCAAAGUUGAAACCAAAGGCACUGAUAGAAUGUUGUGCGGCUGUGUUGUAGGCCUGGUGACCGAAUACGUCUAACUAUCCCCCGAAGUUGAAAUCGAGGGAUGAAAUCGAUGAAUGCCUCACCAUUGAUGAUGUUAAUAAUGUGUCUUUGUAUAAGCUUUGUAGCAAUGAUCUGAAUCCACAACAAAACCGUGUGGCCAGACUUUUUGCUUCUUGAUUUGGCUAGAAAUUUGGCGGACACGGUAUAAUCGAGCUUGGGCCACCUUUUUCCUCUUCAGCAAAGACUGUAUAUUCUCACAAGAGUAAUGAGUUUCGAUCACUGUCUUCAAACCGUUGUCCCCUGUGAUCUGAAAAAUGGAAUAUCUAACGGGGUUAAAUGAUGUUAGAUAUCUACAUUUCAGGCUCAAAAUUCUUCUUCAGAUCCCUACUUUAUGCCUAAACCUUGUUCAAAGCUCUUUUAACGUUAUGCUCUAGUUGAAUGUCAGAUCUUUAGAUUGGGUUGAUACAAAAAUGGGCUCAAUUUCAGCCUCACAAUUUUGACCGUUGUAAUGGACAAUAGCUCUGGCUCGUCUCCUCAUCUUGAACCAAAUAUUCUAUUCCACAUGUUUAAAAUCGAGAAAAUUGUAAAAAUAUAGUUCUCAUCACCCAAAUCCCUAAAUUUACACUUACUUUAAUGAAAUACCUUUGCUUCGACAAUAUUGUCAGUAUAAAAUUUUUGUUUUUUACUACAACAUCGAUAACUCCUAAUGCCAACAAUCUGCUUCAAACAUCUGUAUGGAAAAUCCAAGAAUUAUAUUGAGUUUUUUUUAUAGAGCCUUUUCCUCGACGCACAUGAAACGAUUCUAGCAACAACACAUGUCAAGGCAUUAGUUGUUUUUGAGGUAUACACUAAAAAUUAAAAUUUGUGGGGGAGAAAACGUUCCCCGCAACGAUGUUUUUCAGCACCUAGACAUAGCAUUGAAAUUUAUCCUAGGAAUCCCGGGUUGUAGGGGCUUAGAGGUAGAAGCAAUCAAGUUGGCUUGGGUAUUGAAAGACCAUAAAGAAAAUGCCUCUUGCAGGAAGCAUUUCCACCUGACUUGGCAAUCAAAAUGCCUCCUGCAGGACGCGUUUUCCAGCCACAUCUCUGACAUGUUAGUUGAAAACGCAUCUUGCAAGAGGCGUUUGUACUGCCAUGUUAGGUAAAAACACUUCCUGCAGGGAACAUUUUCUUUAUGGCCAUUUCAACACCCAGGCCAACUUAAUUGCUUCUGCCUCUGAGCCCUUACAACACGGGAUUCUCGGGAUAAAAAAAUUUCCCUUUUUACCCCACCCCAUCCCUUAUAUAAAUGUAUGUUCUCAUCCCCUACUCACCCAUAUCUCAGUCUCCUUUAAAUUAUUUUUUUCUUUUUCUUCCGUGUUGAAAUUUUCAAGUUUAAAGAUUUAUUUCUCUCACACUUUGAGGGGGAUGUAAUCAUAGUUUUAAGUUGUGUUUGAGUUCACAAUAAUGUCGUGGCGCUUGAUAACUUACAAAUUUCACUUGUCGUGUGAGUAUGGAGCCAUCACUUGAGAAAUCGAGAUCGCUUUGCAACUCGAGGUCCAAGUUGACGGUGUAAAUAAGGCUUCAAGUUUACAAAGGUUAUGCUAUUAAAGGAUGGAGCAAAACCGGGACUGUAGUUGACGAUGGUGAUGCAAGCACAAGAACUAGUUUUUCCUCAUUGGAAGAGCAUACUUUAUAAAAUCCAUAUACAAGUACGAGGGAGAAAAUCACAGGGGUCUUCCAGUAUAAUCAAGUAAUUCAUUUUAUCCUUUUCCAGCAAAGGCAAUGACCCUGUUACUAAAACCUAUUACAUCCCCUUUCUAUCAUAGGUAAUAGUAACGGUGUCACCGUCUUUGGUGGAGAUGGAUAAAAAAAUUUACUUAAUUAUACUGAGAUACCAUUGCAUUUUUCUUCCUCGUACUUGUGUAUGAGUUUUAUAAAGCAUCAUUUUCUAAUGAAAAAAGUUUUUUGUCGUGCCCGCAUAACCAUUGUAAAUUACAGCUCCAAUCAUACUCCGUCCUUUGAUAGCGUAACAUUUUGUAAACUUGAAGCUCUAGUUACACUUCAAUUUCAGACCGUAUAAUCACCCUUAAUUGGGACCAUGAGUUGCAAUGCGAUCUGGCUUCUCGGGUGAUGGCUCCAUACUCACAUGACAAAUGAAAUUUGUAGGUCACCUAACUCCACGACACCACCAUAAAUUCAAACAUUCCUUAAAACUAUAACAGUGUCUAUCUCAAACAAGAAUGAAAAUAAAUGUUCAAACUUCUAAUUUCAAAUUGCAAGAAAAAAAAGAAAAAAAUAAAUUUUAGCAAAGUAAAAAUGGGUCCUACCGGCGCAUUUUCAUUGCCACAUCAAUGAAAAUACACCUCGUACGACACGUUAUUCUUUCUUCGUAAACAAUGUAAAUCAAUAAAUUUAAAAAAAAAUUAUACAUUCUCAAAUAACUCUUUUUUUCAGCAUUUUUGUUAAAUUUAUCCCAUAAUACUGCUACUUCUUGUUUCCUGGGUUAUUUUUAUUACUGCUGGUUGUACCACCCUCCUACUGUGCGCCGGUUAUAGCAACUCACUCAAGAUUCUAAAUACUAAUAUAAACACCAUUUCUUUUAUUCUUAGUUUUUUUAGUGAUUAACGUGGUUUUAAUUAUCGUUAGAUCACGUGGGUGUUUAUAUGAAAUGCUUGAAAUCGUCACGCAGGACAAAAAAAAAAAAAAGAAAAAGAAAAGGAAAUGAAGAGUAUAUAUAUAGAGGAAACAACUAGUGAGAGUGAUAUUAAUAUUUAGAGUAGGUAAAGAUAGUAUUAUAUAGUCGCAUAUGCGACCUUGUACAUUACCACUAACUCUAAAACUAGGAUAACUCCAACAAUGAAUAGUACCGCUAUGGAUUUUUAACAUUCAUUUUUAUUCUGUCGACAUCACUAUUUCCCUUCCAUUAGCUGAUCCCAACUUCCAUGACCACACUUCACUUAAUGCUGCAAAUGCAACCACACCAAACAAAACAUUCAUAAAUUAAUAAAUCAAUUGCCAUAAGCGAUAAACUUUGGGUCAUUUUCUUUUUCCGUAAUUUCAAAGAAACCUAGUUUAAAUUAGAUACGAACCUUUUGCAGUCAGUGGAAGGGCUGAUCUUGUAAGGGAUGUUGAUACCGCACUUGCCUGGGAGUCCGGCUGCAGUGCUAUAGUUGAUGCCAGAAAUGCCGGUGGCCGCACUUUUGAUGCAGCUGCAAGCUGCUUGCCGGUCUGGUGUUGUUUUGGCGGCAGAGUUGAGAGAUCUGAUGCCGUUGCAGCAAGCUGGGGGAGCAGAACCAGCACCAUUCCCUUUCAAGUAAGCAAUGCAGGGUGCGAGGGCGCUUGUGAUUUGACCACAACUUAUGGCCCCUUGAGCCAGGGGUGCACCCACCACCAUGCAAAACACCACCACACAUGUAAGCUUAAGGGACAUUGAGCUAGCCAUAUCAAUUAGUCACAAGAAACAAACUUGUAAGGAAAAUGCUCGCUUGGAGUAGUAGUACUAUUGCUGAUUGUUGCGU
rnacentral:lncRNA from 1 species